rnacentral:lncRNA from 1 species
GACCACUUAAUAAGCUGUUGAUAACGCUUUUUUAAACUGAAUAUUCUGUUAGUUUACUCGUAAAUGCUUUUGACAGUUGUUGUUUCAUGAGGCCUAAUCCUAACUAUAUUUUGACUUUGAAAGAAUAUACAAUACAUAAAGCUACACAGGUCUGCUGUGGUAUCUUAAAUGGUGCUCAAAGUUCUUAAUCAGCCCCAACUUCCAUUGUUUUGAUUCUGAAAAGCAAAACCCCCCUCACUGGCUAAAAUAAAGUGGGAAUCAAUUCAGUAUGGUACAAUUUAUAGAUAUGGUACAUUUAUGGCACCGAUGAUACUUUGCUGCAGAGUUACCUAUAUCAUGUAUUCUUUUAUCUUCCCUAUUAUCAAUCACUUUUACAGAGAAAUUAUGGUCUUGAAGUCAAAACUGGAUACUUUAAUAAUUAAAGUUAUAAUCAACCUCAAAAUUGUGUGCUGGGUUAUGGCGGUAAAGGGGUCAACUUGAUGUAAGUUACGCAACUUGGACUCACACCAUAAAACUCAACCAAAUUCCAACAAAGAUUAGUUGCCAACCCAUCCAGUUGUGUCUGUUACACAUAACCUUUGACUUGCAACAUAACAAUCCCAAGAUGACACAUUGAAAACUGAUAAGUUUAUAUAGAUCAUGCACUAAUAGCCUCAUAUGUUGCCAUUGUCUUAACAACUAAGUCUCUAAGCCAACAUUCAAAAAUUUAGAUCUUGAAACGUUAAAAUACAAGGUCUAGCUAAAAAUCCAAUGAUAGGUGCGGGCUUUAUAGGAUGAGAGAGGGCUUCUCCUAUUGUGAAGCCCUCGUUCCAUUGACUUUCAGAUGUGCCCCAAGAGCAUAACAUUAGUGAGAGGCGUUGUGUGAUCUAUGUUGUUUGGUAAGUUUUAGAUAUCAUAUCAUCUUUUGUAUCCUUAUAUUCUUAUUUGAUGUUGCUGAGUUGAAUCGAUAAGGGUGUGAUUUCUAGUUGCAUGUUCAAAGUUUCCAUUAGAAAUAGGGGCAGGUUUGGUUUGCAAUCCCCCUACUUCAUUUUAGGGUUUUCAACUAUCAUAAUGUAUCCUUCCUUUUGUUAUUUAUUUGUUUGUUGUUUUGAAAACAGGACCAGAAAGGACUCCCUGAGGAAUUGUUUGCUGUAAAGAUGUAUGCUUUAACAACUGAAGGGCCAAAGAAGGUUCUCAAGACAAGAUCCAAGGCGCAAGCCAACAGACCUGACAUCAUCAAAUGAUUUGUUGCCUCUACCUUGUUGCAUUGUUGUAGGAGUACUCAAACUUUCUGGUGUAGGAUGUGAUUGUAUCUUCUUCCUAUGUAAUUUGUUAGCGUAUUACCUCAAAUUGUUUUUACUUUACAAGCUCCUUGUGGACUAGUUUUGUUCUUUUUCGUUUGAAGCUGUAUAUUUAUCCCCGGCAUACCUUUGAAGCUGUAUAUGUUCCUAAAUUCAAUUAUUGCUUCCAUAUUUUAAUUUUAUCUUUAAUUUUUUUUUUUUACCUUUCAAACAAAAAUGAAGAGUAAAUUUUACUAUUCCUUUUUACCAAUUCUUUAAUCCUUAGUCUAAUGAUACUUUAGAUGGAUACUUUUGCUCCUAUUCGCAAGACCAGCCCUCACCCUUUUUGUAGUGUUAUUUUCCAAACGGUGCCGUUUGGCACUUUGCUCCUUACAACCCUAACUAUAAAUUCCUCCUUUUCUCUCUCUCUCUCCUUCAUUUUUCCCCUUACUUUCUCUCUCUACCGCCGGCGGCUCUCUCUCAUUUCUCUCUGAACCUUCAGCUCACUUUCUUCUCUCUUUCUCUUUCGCUUGGAAGUAAUGAGAAUCUCCCAAUCCCAAAAGAGGAAAUCAACUUUCUCUCCCGCACACUGCCAGAACCUUCCUUUCGCUCUCACAAAUCAGUCCCCAACCGAACCCAUUUCCUAGAUCUACGUCUUUGUAAACAUUGGAUUUUUGUUUUGAUGCUUUUUGCUUUUCUUUUUUUUUGCCUUUUGCCAUUUUGGUUGUGGUAUCCGGCUGCUAGAUUAAAAAGUUAGAAGUUUUUGGCUUCUAGGUGUUUGCUCUUUUCUGGAGAUUUUUGUUGAAAGAGCCCCUCCUUUUGUGAAGAUUUCUGCUUUUAUAUAUAUAGGGGCCGAAAAUUCUCUCCUUAGUACUCGGUUAGCCAUUGAUUUAUCCUAAUUUUUAUUGAAUAAAAAUGAAAAUGAAAAAUAGAAUAAUAAGGUAAUAAAAAUAGUAAUAAAAGUACAUAAAAAAAUAGUAUCUACAGCUUGAGGGAAUCUAUGUUUAGUUUUUUAAUAUGUAAACACCCUUUUCCAUGGAAAGGUUAAAUUUUUUUUUCUUUGUUUGAGAUGGAUAUCAAACCCUUUCUUCAUGAACACCACUUGCUCUUUGAUGACUACAUUGAAUCAGAGGCACCUUGUAAUAUAUGCAAUCAGAAAAUUGAUGGUUUGGCUUAUUAUUGUGAAAGAUGCAAGAUUUGGUUUCAUAAUCCCUGCGUUCAUCAUCAGCUACCUCUGCAGAUAAGUGCACAUCCUUUCCAUUCUCAACACAAUCUUAGUCUCUUAUGGUCAAAUCACAUAGAUUACAUAUGUGCUAAAUGUUUCAAUCUUUCUCGAGGUCAUAGGUACCAUUGCAAAGAUUGUGAUUUUAGCCUUGAGUUUCAAUGUGCUUUUUCAAUCAAUGAUGAGAAAAAUAGACUCAGUGACGAGACAUCCAAAAAAAUUGGUCGUUUCAACAAGUCGUUGACCCUCUUUAACUAUAGGAGAGUGAGAAAGUAUGAGUAUAUAUGUAGUUGGUGUGAGAAUCAUUUGUCUGGAAUGUCUUAUGGUUGUCUUGACGAUGGAGUUUAUAUCUGGUUCCACGAUUCGUGCCUAAUCAACAUGCCUAGCAUAAUCUUCAAACACCCUUUUCAUCCAUCACACCCUCUUUCAUUAUGCAACAUUCAUUUCGAUAAUAGAUUGUGCAAUGCUUGUAACCUACCAAUAUGGGAGUUCAGAAAAGCCUUUUGCUGUAGAAAAUGUAAAUUCCACCUUCAUGUUCAUUGUGCUGAACUACGACCCAGUCUGAAGGUUGAGUUACAUGAGCAUAAUCUUACUUAUUUUCGAAUAAAAGCUAAUAUCUCUACCCACCUAUGUAGGAUUUGUGGUUUUAAUUUUGAUGCUAUAGGGAACGAAAGUGCUUUUUAUCGUUGUGUUGAGUGUAAUUUCAAUUACCAUUUCAAAUGUCUUACAAUACCACAUUCUACUUCACACAAGUAUCAUAGGCAUGAUCUCAUGCUUAUGGAUUCAUUUAUAGAAGAUGUUUCUGAAGAAUAUUAUUGUGAUAUAUGUGAAGAAAAAAGAAAACCCAAGCAUAGUGUUUAUUGUUGCAAGAAAUGCAAAUUUGUUGCUCACAUCGAAUGUGUACUCAAUAAGGUAAAGAGAAAUUUACUCUCUCUCUAAACAAAUUUAAUAAAUGAUUUUUUUAUUAGAUAAUCUAUUAAUUAUUUGAUCAUAGGUCACAUAUACUGUGCCAUUUAGAAAAAUUUUGAUGUUAAAUAGUUUCACUUCCCCAGGUUAUAGAUAUAAAACUUGAUCAAAGUGUGACCUCUAGUUUGUUGGAUGGCGAAGCUUCAACAUUGAAGGUGGUGUAUGUUGAUAUUAUUGUGAUGCUUUCACUUGCCAAUAAUUUUUUUUUGAAGGUUACAUCACUUUAGGUCUUUUAUAAUUCCUUGGAUUUAUAUAUUAUAAAGAUUUUUUAGUAAUAAACACUAUUUACGUUUUUGAAUAAAAUUUAAUGAAAAAAAAACUAAAAAAUGUAAAUAACAUAGGUAAGAAACCUCUACUUAUAUAGCAGUAUUCAAAAUCAAUUUGAAGAAGGCUUUAGUAAAAAUAUUGAAUGUUGAAUAAAAUAAAAACAUAUACGUGCAUCAUGUUAAUUUAUGAACAUAUAUAUUUGAUUAUUUAAUUAUUACUUCCAUAUUUUAGUUUUAUUUUAAAUUUUCAUUUUUUUUACUUUUCAAACAAAAAUAAAGAGUAAAUUUUACUAUUAAUUUUGACCUAUUUGUAAUUUUUCGUUUUCAUUUGCCAUUUUGAAUUUGUUUCAAAUCCAUCUGUAUAUUAACAUGCCAAUAAAAUGGAAGUGAAAUUUGUCACGUAAAUUCCACAUAUUAUGUGAAUUAUGUGAAAGUAGUCACAUGGACAUAACUGUAGUGUUUAGAUGGCAAAUUCGUUCCAUAUUUAAUAGUGUAUUGAUGGAUAGAUGAAUUUAAAAUAAAUUCCAAAAGAUGUAGAUGAAAAAAAUCGAGUUUGUUUAGUCAUAAAUGAAAAUAAAAUAUUAUGACAAUUUACAAAUUAAGGAUGCACUCUGCUUAACAAAUGGUGGAAGAUUAGUAACUUUCUUCACUCAACCUGGUUGUGCAGCCGCAGAUUGAACAUUUUGAUCAUCAACAUCCCUUGAGCUAUAAUGGGGCAAUUGAACGGAAUGAAAGUCUUCUCUGCAAUGCUUGCUGUCAAGAAAUUUUUGAUCAACACUAUGCUUGUGGAGAUUGUAAAUACUACUUACAUGAAACGUGCACUGCAUUGCCGUUUGAGGUGUCACACCCUUUUCAUUGCCAGCAUCCUCUCAAGCUCUUCACAGAUAUAGUUGAAUUUACAUGUCAUGCAUGUAGGGAACAUUCUAGUGGGUUUGCUUACAUGUGCCUUCCAUGUGAUUUCCAACUUGAUGUAAACUGUGCUACCACUCCAAUCCCACAAAAAAAUGAGGGGCAAAAGCUGAAAGAGAUGGAGAAAGUUUCCAAGUUGUGCCCUUUCAAUCAAAAUCAUAAGCUAGAUUUCUUCAAUCGUAGAUCCAGUCUCAAAGAUUUGGCUUUGGAAUGCGAUGCUUGCAAGCUACCAAUCUUGGGUCCAGGUUAUACAUGUCGUGAUUGUUUCAAUAUCAAAAUUCAUGAAUCUUGUCUUGCAUUUAUGCGGGAGAUGCAGCUCAACUUUCAUCCAUUACACCCCCUUCAUCCACAAAUCGGCGAUUGGGAAAAUUGUUUUGCCUGUAGAUUUAAAAUCAUUGAAAGUAUCGGUUAUAGUUGUCGACAGUGUGAUUUCCACCUUCAUCUUCAUUGUGCUAAUUCCCUGAAGCUGGCCUUAAAAAUUAAGUCUCACAUGCAUAAUCUCUAUUAUUUUGGGCCAGAUUAUGAGAAAUCUUACCAAUUAUGUAACAAAUGCAAAAGUUACAUUGGUAAGGAACCUUUCUAUUAUUGCGUGGAGUGCAAUAUGAAUUUGCACUUAAAAUGUGUUCCCAUACCAUGUUCAGUUAAAUCCAAAUAUCACAUGCAUCGUUUGACUCUUAAAAAUCAUUUUGUGGAAGAUGAUUCUGGAGAAUACUAUUGCGACAUUUGCGAAGAAGAAAGGAACUCAAAAAAUCAUUGCUAUUAUUGUGAAGAGUGUGUUGGACAAUUUGUUGCUCACAUCGAAUGCGUGCUUCUUACAGUAAGUUUAUCACUAUCAUUUUCUUUGUAGAAUUUUUUUAUACCAUGUUAUUGAAUUUUUUAAAGGAAAAUAAGAAUCUAAAUUACACAUCACAUGAUUGUAUCCACCACCUCUUUGAUUAAUUGGACUUUAUUAAUGGUUAAAGUACCUCAUAGGUCCAUAUACUAUAGAUUUUUCGUUAAUUUAAUCUCUUUACUCAAAACUGGUUAAUUUAUUCUCUAUAUUUUGAGAUAUUAUGUAAUUGACUCAUUUUGCUUAACUCCAUUCAAAUUAACCAUUAGUGGUGCUGGUGUCGCAUUGACAUGCAAGAUAAAAGAAAAAAAAAGAAAUUGGCCAUGUGGCAUUUGUUUCUUUCCUCAUUUGUUCAAAACUACAUUGUUUUAGAGUACCAUUUAAAGCACAUUUAGGUUUUAUUUUUCAUUUUCCUUCUUUCCUUCUUUCUAGCUCUCUUAUCUCUCUAGAUUCCGACACCUAAAUGAAAAUUUUGGCUAUCGUUCAUUAAUGGUAUGAAAAUCUAAUAAAAAAUAAAAAAAUUCAUUUUUUUUGGCCUUAUUUCCCAAAAUUAGGAUAGCUUUUUCAAAAUCUAUCUUGAUUUUCCUAGAUCUAAAAUAAUGAAACUGUAAAAAAGAAAUUUGUUUCUUUCCACUAAUGUGUCCUCAACUUGAUGUUAAUGAUCAAGGGUUGUGUUUUUCAUGUUGUAGGAUUUUGAAUUUGCAGAUGGAAAUUUUCAUGAAUUUUCCAACUUGAAAGAUGCUGACUCACCUAUUGAGAGUUCCUCUAUGGAUAAGUUGCUUUCCCAGCCCCAUGCUGAAGUUUACUUGAAUCAAAACAGAAUGGUAGUUAAGUCCUAUAUAAGUUUAUUUUAAAGAUCUCAUCUUAAUGCGAAAAUGAAUUUUAUUUUAUGAAUAGUUGAAUGGAAGAAAAGUUUCACGAUUUUGUGGGUGCCAUUGUUGUUGCAGAAGUACUGGGUGGAUAAGAAGUUAAGCAAAUACUGCUUCAUGUUGUUUGCAAGAGAUCUUUCAAUCUGUUGGGCGGAAAACCACCUUUACUGGCGCUGGUCAUACCAAAGAGAAACAAACAGGUUAGCAUAGAUUUAUUAUUCAUUUAGAAUCCUUCAUAGUUCUAGCUCGAGAGCUUUCCUAAUCCAUAAACUUUUGAUUUUGCAGUGAUGUGUUGAUUGAUGUUGUCGAACUUCUAGAUGUGUGGUGGCUAGAAAUGCAUGUGAAAUUCAAUGUAAAAAAACUCUCACCAAAAACAUUGUAUGGACUUGUGUUCGUGCUUAUGUUGGCAAAAGAAGCAUGUGGAUGGGAACACCCAGUGAACGUCGGAUUCACUCUUCCAAAUGGGUACAAGGUUGAAUGCAAGGAAAUUUUGAUGACCAAGCCAACAGGAGUGUGGAUAGAAAUCCCUGUCGGAGAAUUUACAACUUCAUUUGAAAUUGCUGGAGAAUUAGAUAUUUACUGUCACCAAUAUGAUGAAUUGAUAAGGAAGAGAGGACUUAUUGUUAAAGGAGUUGCUAUUCUACCAAAGAAUUAAGUUAUAAGUUAGUAUUUUGUCAUAGUAAAUAUGAAAGUAUUAUAGUUUUUUUAUUUGUUCAUAAUCCUGCAAAUACCAAAAUGACCUUAACACUGGAACCAGUUUUUCGGUUCUCAUUAUACAAUAUAGGUUCCAUGCUAAAUGCAGCAAACAAGCCCGUUGAUUGGGUUUUUUGUAUUUUUUAUUAGAUUUUUGGACCACUACUGAUCAGCGGUCAGUGAUCGAAAUCUGGGUUUGGCGAUCAAAAUUUGGGAUGGAAGGAUUGGAUAGAAAGUGAGAGAGAGAAGAGUGUUAGAGAGAGAAGGAAGGAAAAUGAAAAAAAAAAAAACUAAAUGUGCUUUAAAUAGUAAGCUUAAAACGACGUAGUUUGAGACAAAAAAGAGAAGAGAGAAAAAUAAAAGCGACAUGAUCAAUUUUUUUUAUUAGUUUAACACGCCACUUCUACGUUAGCACUUUUUGAUAUGUCAGUGCGACGUUAAUACCACUAAUGGUUAAUUUGAAUGGAGUUGAGCAAAGAGAUUCAAUGGUACAAAAUAUGAGAGUACAAGGACUAAAUUAACUAGUUUUGGAUAGUUGGACUAAAUUGACAAAAAAAUCUUUAGUAUAAGGACCUAUGAGGUACUUUGACCAUUAAUAAAUUCUAAUCAACAAAAGAUGUGGUGGAUUUGAUCAUGUGAUGUGUAUGUGUAAUUUAGAUUCUUAUUUUCUUUUAAAGAAAUUCAAUAAUGUGGUAUAAAAAAUUUCUACAAAGAUAGAAAAAUAUUGUUAGCACCUCAACAUUUUUUAAAACCUUUUCAGCACUUUAAAGCUUUGUCCAUUAAUUAAUCAGCUUGUUUUAGGCAUGUUCUCAUAGUAACACAAGUCUUUACGCUGUAUAGAACCUUUUGUUUCUUUUUAACCUCCUGCAAUCUUGAGCAAGGCUGGUUGUGUAUACAGGGGAGCAUAGUGGUAUAUCCCAGCACAGUUGUGUAUAUAGGGAGAUGUAUGCCUAAGCUGUAGGGAUGGUUUUUGUUCACCUACUCUUUUGUAUAUUGAUUUUGCUUAAAGUAUAAAGGUAUAGAAUUUUUAAAAAAAGAUACAAAAUUGUGGCUUAGCAUCUUGAUAGCCACAUUUGGAAUAAAAAGGUAGCAAUUAAAAAAAGUAUUUUAUCUUUAAUGAUGAGUAAGCUUUCUUUGGCCUUUUUCAUUUUAUAUUCUCUCAAUAAUUUCCUUCUUUAAAUAGAGAAAAAAAAUGUUGACAGGGCAUGAAGCACAUGCUAUUUUCUUGUUUUUGGUAUAAAGGCUUGAGGGAAUCUUUGUUUAGGUUUUACAUUUAAACGCCCUCUCUCAUCAAGAGGCUAGUAGUUGAUCAUCUCUCUCUCUCUCUUCAUCUACCUAAAUUUAUUUCUUCGUUUGUUUGAGAAAACAAGGCAGAGAUUGUUCUGCUAUGGGCAUAUUCUAUACUUGUUUUUGACAGAAAUUUAGUACCUCCUCAAGUCCUUAACCAUCUUGGUGCUGCAAAGAGGGGGUUGUAGCUAGAAAUUAACAACAUAAAAGAUGAAAGCAAGGUUGUUGAUGUGAAUGAUUUAGCUUGGUUUGGGUUAUACAAGGCGCAACAAUUCUUUGAACGUCAAAUACACUUUCCUAUAUUUAAGCUUAUUCUUCAUAAUGUGUAGCACUGCAGGGCAUUUUAUUCAACUAUAUUUUGGUUAGAUUGUAGGGGAAAGAAAGGUAGAGAAAAAGACACAAAGGCGAGAAACAUUUUUAGACAAUGAUUCAAAAUUUAAUUUCAUUAAUAAGUUAAAAAAUUACAGCAAACUGUAAAAAAGAUCAAAAAUUUUUUUGUCUGCUCCUUUUAUUCUCUAUUGGCCAGAAGAGAUGUGCAUUCUUGAACUAGUGAUUUGCAAAUAAGUGACUGCUUUUCCUACAUACCUUUGAGUUGAAUGACCAUGUACUUAUCCAUUCUGUAUAUUUCAACAAAUUUAUGUUAAUAUUCAAGUUUCUAAUAUUUGAAUGAGUUUAUAUUUGAUGCAUUAACAGUGUCUAUAAGAUACAUUGUCAGUGUAUUAAAUAUAAAUCUUAUUUAAAUAAAUUAAGAGUACAUAGUUAAGAAUUACAGGGAGUUUAAUUUGAGAUAGUAGCUUUUUGUAUGUAAGAAGAAAAAGAAGAUUUUGCUGCUUUUUAUUAUUUGUUUUUGUUAAUUUUAUUGUGUCAGCUUGGUUUUAUGUCAACAGCCCUAUCAAUUCAUCAUGGUUAGUGAUCAACAGCUUCAAUAACGAUGCUUCCCAAGUUUAAAAGGGAAAAUAGGAGAUUCCAAACUUAAAACCUUCAUGUCCUUGAGGCUUUUCUUGUUUCUCUGUCCUUUUCUAUUUGCUGUUUUAGUUGCAAAAUUGUGGAAGUAGCAUCUUGAUUGCCACAUUUUUCAUAAAAAAGUACCAAUUUAAAGAAACAUUUUAUCUUUAAUGAUAAGUAAGUUUUCUUUGACCUUUUUCUUUUUCUCAAAAGACAAAGAGAAUAGUAUUCCAUAAAAAAGGAUAUGUGUUAAUUAAAUUAUUUGAAGGCAAGAAAUUAAGAUUAGUAUCAGUAUUCGUUUCCAAAUUCUCACAAUUAUUUCGUUCUUUAAAUAAAGAAAAAAAUAAUAUUAUUUUUGAUCACUCACUUGAUUAAUUAAUUUGAAUUGUCAUUGCAUUAGUACAAUGAAUCGUAAUCACAAUAUACGCGCGACUUGUUUUCAUUGUGCAAGUAAUUAUUGUAUAACUAAAGCAAAAAGAAAGUAAUUGCUAUAUAACAUUAUUUUACCUAAAGGGAAAUAUUUAAUUAAAGAAAAAAUAAGUAAUCCCAAACUUAAAACCUUUAUCCUCUUAAAAACCAAUUAAUAGAGUAAUGCUGAUUCUCUAUAAAGUGAUUUGAUUUCAAAAUGCCAAAGGUCCUUGAUGCUUUUCUUCUUGUUUAAACGAAACACUCCCCUUGCUAAACUAAAGUGAGAAUCAAUUAAGUAUGGUACAACUUAUAGAUACAUUUAUGCCACCAGUAAUACUUUGUUUCAGAAUUAUCUUUCCUUUUUAGAAACAAUAAAGAUGAAUUAUAUAUUAAAAAAGAGAAGGAUAAGAGUAUUCCUUUACAACCAGUCAAAAAAAAACCCACGACUACAUCAAAAACAGCCAAUGGGGCUUAAAAAUUUGGGUAGACCAGUACUUACCUUAGGUCCUGCCAAGUAGUAUUAAAAAGAAAAUAUUACAAAAGGUAAGAAAACCAUAACAAAAGGACCUGUACAUAAUCUUUUCCUAGAAGAAGGAUCCAAAAAAGGGUUCAAUCAAUAUCCCUUAAAAAAAAAGCAGUAUAAACGAAGAAACAUCAAUGGUUCCCAUGAAGUUAGCAGCGAGCAUUGUGAUGCACAACAAAAGUAAAUAAAGCAGGGGACAGAACACGUCACACUAGGUUAAUAUUCUUCUCCGGGGCUGGCAUGGAGUCGUUGAUCCGAAGCAAAUCUGUUGAUCUUGAGACACCUUCUUUGGCUAGCUUGUCAACUUCUUCAUUAGCAGAACCAAAAAUGUGUUUCAUCUCCCAUCUUCCAAUCUUACGAAGAGUAUUAAAUGUUUGAAUUAUCAGAGUCUUCGCUCUCCAUAUCUUCUUUUUGUCUUUCUUAAUAUUAAUCACUUUUACAAAGAAUUUAAUUUUAAUUUUACAUUUGAAUUGUUGCGCUAGGGUAUGGCCGUAGAGGGGUCAACUUGAUGUAAGUUAAGCAACUUGGAUUUACAGCAUAGAACUCAACUAAAUUCCAACAAAGAUUAGUUCCUAGCCCGUACAGAAAAUUUGUAUAUGUUACUUGACUGAUUUACAUUGAAGAAGUAAAUUUGCAUAUCACCCACAUUAUAAACUAAUCAAUUACUGAAAAUAAGAAAUUACCACUAGUGCUUGCUAAAUCUCAUAAAUAAAUCAUCUUAAUAAGCAAUAACUAUGUAUGGGAGGGCUAAUUAUUGUAGUUAACAUUCCUUGAAUUUUACCUCAAAAUUUGUGUUAAUAUUCUAGGUUGUGAUCAAGUCAAAUAUUCAAGUUUCUAACAUUUAAAUAGAUUAGGAGUACUUCAUGAAUGAAGGGGUUUAAUUUGAAGUAAUAGCUUCAAGUAUAGAAGAAAAAAAACAAAGAUUAUGCUGCUUAUUUUUUUUUAUAUUUUCUUGUCUUAGGUUGAUUUUAUGUCAACACUCCUAUCCACUAUUCGGUAAUUUUGGACGUGUGUAUUUCUGUAGCAAUGUUUAUGAAAUGGUUUGGACAGCAUUGAUAGCUGUGGAUCAUGAGACAUAUAUACACUUUGGACAGCUAUUUAUUGAGACGUGCUGGAAGGUGAUUUAAUUAUUUCUGUUGAUUGGGUUAUGUUUUCAGAGAUUGGGCGGAUUUGUUAAAGAGUCCAACUGGACCUAUUUAUCCCCAAAGUUGAGUUUAAUUUUGGCAUUUGGCAUGUGGCAUUGCCAAAGCUCCUCAAGGAAGAGCACUAUGCGAUGAGUGAAGGCCAAAUAAAUAAGAAGAAAAAAGAAAGAAAGAUAGUACACAUCUUGUCAUCACUCAUCAAUUAGACAUUCCAUCCCUCACCAACCCAACGUCCUUGGACAACUUCUUCCACAUAUGUUGUCCAAUAAAAAUCACUCCAGUGUCUCGCAUUGCUUGAAAAGAAAAAAAAAGACUCCCACGUCCUACCGUAUUGGCGAUUGCUACUAUCGUUCUCCACCGCCCGCUUGGUGGCGCCUAUACAGCCACCACCACCACCACCACCAUUUGCAAUUCUCCUGAUUCAGAAUUCUUAUUGCAUUACUACUGUUGGAAAAGUGUUUGAUAAACAACUUUCAGCUGGUAAGUUAGCUUCACUAUAACCUUUAUUAUCAAAAAUUUUUUACGCAUUGCCUUUGGAUUACAAAGCAUCCUGGUCAAAUUGUUUCCGUAGUGACGUAGAAGUUGUCAUUCAAGAAAAAUUACAAGGACGAAUUAUAAAGCAUUUUAAUUCUCAUGGUUUUUUUCUUUAAAGAUUGAUUUUGGGUUCAACUUUAAGAAAUUGUCUUCCACUUGUUCAUUGUUAAAAAACAGGGUCGGAAGAGAAGCAGCUUCAACAUCAUCCACUUGUUCAGUCAACCAAUAAUUAACUGCUGUUUUCAUUAAUCAAUUUACAUUCGAGAAACAACAAAAACAAUGGCAAAAGCACUUCUUUCCAUGAUCCUGGAGCAGCAGUUGGGUGGUUCGUUCAUUCCUCAAGGGAUAAAGCAUCAUGUCGGAUUGGCUGUAGGUCUUGAAGAAGAAAUCCAAAAACUCACCAGCAACUUUGAGGCCAUUAAAGCUGCGCUUGAAGAUGCGAAAGGAUAAACCAAACAGGGCUUGCCUAACCCAAGGCGCGGAGGAUAAGGCAUACCGAUGUGGAUGCGGCCCAUAUCCCAAGCUGUUUCCCCACAGACCCUCCAACAGUGUCCCAUAACUCUAAUCCUACAUCCACCACGGAAGAAUUACAAGACUCCCAAGGAGCGGAGGACGGCAAUGGAGGCAGCUGGCUCCGAUUCCGAUGGCAGAGAAUUCAAGAACCCACAGGAAAUGUGGAGGAAGCAAAUUGGAGAUGCAGAUGAAGGAGAUAACCAUAAGAAGACUCAGUGGUACCGUGAAGGCGUUGCCUAUUGGGAAGUAAGUCUUUCUUAACUCUGGUUCUUACAUUUGUAUGUGGGUACCAUUACCGAACUCAUAGUAUAGUUAUUGGUUUCUUUGGUUGUGCUAAGAGAAGGGUGUGGAGGCAUCGGUAGAUGGGGUGUUGGGUGGAUUUGGGCAAGUAAAUGAGGCAGAUGUCAAGGGUAGUGAGGUUUUUCUCAAUACCCUUUUGCAUGAAAGAUUCUCGAUGGCGGUGGAAGAAAUCACCAUCUUGUUGCUCUUGGUACUUCUCUGUCUCUCUCUGUGUGCUCAACUUUAUAUUGUUUUUAUGAAGUUAUAUACCCAUAUAUGUUCUGUUGAGGUAGUUUGGUUUAUGUUAUUAUGAUUAUUUUUUUACACUAAAAAUGAACCUUAGGUUAUUAUGCGCCAUUAAAUGUGGAAGUGCAAAGUUGGUGAUGGGAUCCUACUUCAUUAGAAUGUAACAUUGGUGGAAAACCUAAUUAACUAUAAAUUAAACAAAAAAACAUAGUGGUGACAGCAGAUAGGGAUGGUGUGAUGGAUGAAAUUUUGAGUUAAAUAUCCGCAAUUAGUGCUUGAAACCGGAAACCAAGAUGACUUGAUAACACAACCAUGAAAAGUUUAUGUCCCAUAAUCCCAACCCAUAAAGGAAAAUAAAUAAAUAAAGAAGAGAAAGGCAUGGAAAUUUGGAUGAAUAUGCAAGAAGCAUGUCAUGCAUUAGAGGUCUUGCUUUGAUUUAGAAUGCCAGCGUUAUAGGUGUUGCAACUAUUUAGAAUGCCAUAAUGCAAUUGAGAAUUGGGUUUACUACAUGCUAUUUUGCUUAAUAAAAAACCAUCUUUAAGCAAUAUUUUUUUUUAAAUGGGGAUUUUUUUAAAGCCCUUUUAAAUAACAUGUUUUUGUAAAAGGCCGACAGGAUACUUUUAACUAUUUUUAGCCAUCAGAAAAGAUUUUGGGAUAAAAAUACCCUUAAUGAGCCGUCUUCGUUAGCGUACACUCUCAAACAGGCGAAAAAUGAGAAAAAAAAAUAUGCAAAGAUUUGUUGUGCAAAAUACCCUUUUUUUUUCGAAGGUUGUGCAAAACAAAAUAAAGUUACAUGAGAUGGUUUUUUAGAGAUUUUGGACAUGGCAUUCGGAUAAUAGGAGAAGAGAGAUAUUAAAUCAAACGAGGAACAGGUCUUCAUGAAUGGAAAGCUUGGCUAAUGAUGUGAAACCAGAAAUCCUUGAUACGGUGGUAAAUUGAAAGGAGAAAGAUGUGAAUCCAAGCAGGAAAUGGUCCUGCUAUAGCAGGCCAUAUGUUAGAUGGCUGUCGCAGGGCAGGUCAGGGUUUAAAGUUUGUGAAACGUCAUGUUGGGAAUGUAUGACACGACACCGCUCAGAGUUGGUGAGACGCCAUUGAGGGAAUCUAUGACACGCUAGAGUUAAGAGUUGGUGACANNNNNNNNNNNNNNNNNNNNNNNNNNNNNNNNNNNNNNNNNNNNNNNNNNNNNNNNNNNNNNNNNNNNNNNNNNNNNNNNNNNNNNNNNNNNNNNNNNNNNNNNNNNNNNNNNNNNNNNNNNNNNNNNNNNNNNNNNNNNNNNNNNNNNNNNNNNNNNNNNNNNNNNNNNNNNNNNNNNNNNNNNNNNNNNNNNNNNNNNNNNNNNNNNNNNNNNNNNNNNNNNNNNNNNNNNNNNNNNNNNNNNNNNNNNNNNNNNNNNNNNNNNNNNNNNNNNNNNNNNNNNNNNNNNNNNNNNNNNNNNNNNNNNNNNNNNNNNNNNNNNNNNNNNNNNNNNNNNNNNNNNNNNNNNNNNNNNNNNNNNNNNNNNNNNNNNNNNNNNNNNNNNNNNNNNNNNNNNNNNNNNNNNNNNNNNNNNNNNNNNNNNNNNNNNNNNNNNNNNNNNNNNNNNNNNNNNNNNNNNNNNNNNNNNNNNNNNNNNNNNNNNNNNNNNNNNNNNNNNNNNNNNNNNNNNNNNNNNNNNNNNNNNNNNNNNNNNNNNNNNNNNNNNNNNNNNNNNNNNNNNNNNNNNNNNNNNNNNNNNNNNNNNNNNNNNNNNNNNNNNNNNNNNNNNNNNNNNNNNNNNNNNNNNNNNNNNNNNNNNNNNNNNNNNNNNNNNNNNNNNNNNNNNNNNNNNNNNNNNNNNNNNNNNNNNNNNNNNNNNNNNNNNNNNNNNNNNNNNNNNNNNNNNNNNNNNNNNNNNNNNNNNNNNNNNNNNNNNNNNNNNNNNNNNNNNNNNNNNNNNNNNNNNNNNNNNNNNNNNNNNNNNNNNNNNNNNNNNNNNNNNNNNNNNNNNNNNNNNNNNNNNNNNNNNNNNNNNNNNNNNNNNNNNNNNNNNNNNNNNNNNNNNNNNNNNNNNNNNNNNNNNNNNNNNNNNNNNNNNNNNNNNNNNNNNNNNNNNNNNNNNNNNNNNNNNNNNNNNNNNNNNNNNNNNNNNNNNNNNNNNNNNNNNNNNNNNNNNNNNNNNNNNNNNNNNNNNNNNNNNNNNNNNNNNNNNNNNNNNNNNNNNNNNNNNNNNNNNNNNNNNNNNNNNNNNNNNNNNNNNNNNNNNNNNNNNNNNNNNNNNNNNNNNNNNNNNNNNNNNNNNNNNNNNNNNNNNNNNNNNNNNNNNNNNNNNNNNNNNNNNNNNNNNNNNNNNNNNNNNNNNNNNNNNNNNNNNNNNNNNNNNNNNNNNNNNNNNNNNNNNNNNNNNNNNNNNNNNNNNNNNNNNNNNNNNNNNNNNNNNNNNNNNNNNNNNNNNNNNNNNNNNNNNNNNNNNNNNNNNNNNNNNNNNNNNNNNNNNNNNNNNNNNNNNNNNNNNNNNNNNNNNNNNNNNNNNNNNNNNNNNNNNNNNNNNNNNNNNNNNNNNNNNNNNNNNNNNNNNNNNNNNNNNNNNNNNNNNNNNNNNNNNNNNNNNNNNNNNNNNNNNNNNNNNNNNNNNNNNNNNNNNNNNNNNNNNNNNNNNNNNNNNNNNNNNNNNNNNNNNNNNNNNNNNNNNNNNNNNNNNNNNNNNNNNNNNNNNACAGCAUUUUACUUGAUAUGCAUGUCGUGUCACAGAAUUUUACUUGUUAUGCAUGGCGUUUGACAGCAUUUUACUUGUUAUGCAUGGCGUUUAACAUCAUUUUACUUGAUAUGCAUGUCGUGUCACAGAAUUUUACUUGUUAUGCAUGGCGUUUGACAGCAUUUAACUUAAUAUGCAUGGCGUGUUACAACAUUUUACUUAUUAUGCAUGGUGUGUCACAACAUUUUACUUGUUAUGCAUGGCGUGUCACAACAUUUUGAUUGCAAUGCAUGGUGUGUCACAACAUUUAUUCCUUAUAUAUGUGUUCAGUGUACCUUGUUGCACAUGACUGCUUAACUCUCUGGUGUAUGUGUGCCAUAUUUUGCAGAUCCAACGCAGAGAGUAUGAGGAUCUUGAGAGUUUGCUGAUCGUGCCGAGGGAGAAGUAGGCGUUCAAUGUCGCAAUUAACACUCACUAUAAGUGGUCGCAGCUGCAUUCCAUCACAAAGACUCUCUAACAGAAGGGGGAGUACGAUCCAGUUAAGCGUACCUGCUUCGGAAUGCUCUUGGACGUAUAUCCACAGGGGUACUUUUACGUCGGUCUCUUGCACAACAUCAUGAUUCACCGGAUCACUGAGAGGCAGUCAAUGGACCACGAGCUAUGGUUUGCCAUUGGCAAGAGCAAGGCGCGACUAUCAAAGCGGGAGUUCUGUCUCAUCACCGGGCUGAAGUUUGGUCCAAUGCCCGAUGUGUUCAGACGAUCAUACGAGGUUGCUGCAGAUGGAAUUCAUGCAAGAUACUGGAACGGGGAGGACAGCGUUAAGCUGCAGGCUUUGCUUGAUACCUUCCGCGGGGGUAACUUUCAGCGACCAAGAGAUGCGACCAAGAUGGCACUCGUCUUGAUCGCGAAUAACAUUUUAUUUGGUCAAGACUACCAUAGACGGGUGACGCCUUAAUUGCUGUCAUUGGUGGAGGACAUCGACGUUUGGAAUGUCUUCCCAUGGGGGCACUAUGUUUGGAAACUGACCUUGGACUACCUUUUGAAGGGGUUCGAAGUUCCUGACUUGAGCGUGACAAAGGAAACUCGGUUACGUUACAACAUUUACGGAUUCGCAUGGGUGAUACAGGUACUAAAACGUAACAUUUUUCAAUUUCCUUUCGAAAAAAAAAUUUAUGGGUGUAGUCGUUUAUGAUUGACGGUCUGAUAAUGGUUACAUUUGGCAUGCAGUUAUGGGCAAUGGAGACAAUUUCGGCCCUCCGAAAAAUAGUUGCCCUCUCUGGUCAGAAGGACAACGUCCACCCAUGAAUGUGCAGAUGGGAUUGCAAUCAGAAGCCAAAAGACUUCUACAGGACAAUUCAGAAGUUAGAGUCAUCUGACCAAGUGAGUGAACAACUGUUAAUUUUUACGUUAUAUUUGUAAAAUAAUUUUCCUUAUUCGAUAAUGACAACAUUUUAUUUGUUUAUUUGUAGUUGUGGGCACUGGAGGCGUUGUAACCCACCACGGAUGAGGCCCUCCGGGAGUAUUUUGUGGACCUUGAUGUCCCGUUAUCAGAGGGCAACGAGUACGUGCCAAUAGGGCACAUGGAGGAUCGGUCAGCUUGGGGCUUAGGUGCGAGGCUAAAAAGGAAAAGCUUGAAGGAGAAAAGAGCCUCUGGUGGCACGAAGAGGAUGCACACCGCCGCUGCUUUAGUUGAUGAGUUGAUGGAUGAAGGGGACGACCAUGGUCAAGGCAGUGAACAGCCAGUAAGGACAAUUGUAACAGUUUUGUGUUCUCCAAUUCCAUUUGUGAUUAUCGAAUAACAUUUCUGUGUUUGCGGUUGGACCAUGGGUCGGCAGCUCCAGAACCACCCACCGGUCUUCCUCAAAUGCAAAGUGGAAACGACCUGUCGGUAAGAUCGGUUCUAACGGUUUGUGUUCUACAUUCUCACAUAUGUUUAUCGAGUAACACAGUAAUUUAUGUAAUUGCAGUUUACGGAAGCGACGACAGGUCCUCAAGCACCGAUAGGUCCAGCUCAACCGCAGACUGCUAACUAGCCGGCGGUAAGGAUAUUAAAGUUAUAACAAUUAAUGUUCAACAAAUUCAUACAUGAUUAUUGAAUAACACAAUUAAAUAUGUAAUUGCAGUAUGCGGAAGCGACAAUAGGUCCUGAAGCACCAAUCGGUUCGGCUCCACCGCAGACUGCUAACGAGCCGCCGGUUAGGAUAUUAAAGUUGUAACGGUUAAUGUUCAAUAAUUCCAUAUAUGAUUAUUGAAUAACAUAAUUAUAUAUGUUAUUGUAGUUGACCUAGUCGAGAACAGUCAAUGACGGAGCAGUCACAACUCGCCAGCUCCGAUGGAUCAUGCGCAAGCAUGAAAAAGAUAUGUUGGAGCUGAAGGCUUCAAUUCAGUCAUUGAGUGUAGCAAUGUAGACGAUUGAGGACCAUAUUGUUGGUCGGAUUCUUGACGGCCUUAAAUCACAAGUACGCUAUUCUAUCUUCGCUUGUAUUUUGAUGGUUUACGUUUAGCAACUAUUUAGACUGUGUUUUCUUGAUGGUUUUAACUGCUUUUUGGUCAUUAGCGGGUCAAGACAUUUCUAUUAUAGUUAGUUGUUGUCGUGUCAGCUUUAGCGUGUCACAACAUUAUAUAUGUUAUUUAUGGCGUGUCACAACCUUUGAUUUUGAUAUGCAUGGCGUGUCAGAACAUUUUGCUUGUUUUCCUUGGCGUGUCACCAAGUUUAUCUUGUUAUGCAUGGUGUGUCACAACAUUUUCCUCAUUAUCCUUGGCGUGUCACCAAGUUUAUCUUGUUAUGCAUGGCGUGUCACGACAUUUUACUUGUUUUGCAUGACAUGUGACAACAUUUUACUAUUUAUGGGUUGUGGUAUUUUAUAAGCUAACUAACUGUUUUUCCAAUUUUGUAGGGCGGUCCAUCUCACAGUGCUGGUCUGGAGCACGAUGAUGCUGAUGAUGGACAACAUCAUGAACUUGGUGUUGACAUUGACGAUGACGUUUUUGGUGCUGAUGGAGAGCACGUAACUCAUGUAGAUGACGUCGUCGAAGAAGCUGUGGCAGUGGAUGUCACCCUUCAGUCAGAUGCUGAAGGAGAACAUCUUCCUCCGGCCUAUGCAUUCAUCGACGCAGCAGCAGGAGCUAUCGUUCAUUAUCGUGAGAGCACUCCUGAUACAGUUGAGAUACGGUUGUCGUCACCAGAGUCAUUUGCUGUCCAUCAUGGUGCAACAAAAGUUUCAAACCCAACUGAGCGGGCACGGUUGAAAAUGGUGAACAAAUACAUGGCAAGCCCAUUCGUCGACCCCUUAGUGACCCGUCGAAAUGUGAGGGAUAAUAUAGGAAAAGACUACGAAGCUUUCAAGAAAGAGGAGUCUGCGAGGUAAGCUCAUAAAUAAAAUUGCAAAUAUUGUUUUUCAAUGAAACAGUUAUCCACCAAGACUUAUGAAAUUAAUUAUGUUACAUAUGCAAGUGUAACAUCGGCAUCUUAGGGGAUCAAGGGGCUGACUUUUUCAUAACCUUAGAGGAUCCUAAUAAGGAAAUGACAAGUGAACAUAUCGACGCAUGCCUCAGCCUAUUCUGCAAGCGGAUGACAGGGCCGAAGUCGAAGUUGUACACUACCCGUGCAUGCAUGGUUGACACGAUAUUCUCCGUAAGUUUAUUUGAAAAUUGUUCAAUUCUAUAAAUACUAAGUUUUUGAUUGCAUGAAGUGUAAGCUAAUAUUUACAUGUUUUACAAGACACCAUCCGUAUACUACACACAGAAUUUCCAACAGAAGAUGCCCAAGCCAAAAUGUAAAUUCGAUGAGUUGCGGGGCUAUGUGGAGGGUGAAAGGCCAACGUACGCCAAAAAAUGGAAAGAUGUUGAUUUCAUCAUCGUGCCUUGCAACGUUGGUGGGCAUUGGGUGGUUGCGAAGAUCGACUUGGUGAGGUGGACGAUCAAGGUUGUGGACGAAGCAAUAACUUCGAAUGCUAAGGAUAACGGAGUUCGUGCGGGUCAGAUGACACCCUUGACGACAAUGAUGCCAUUAAUCUGCCACCAAGCCGGUUAUUUCAACAACAUACGUAGGAAGAGACGGGAUUUGACACCGAUGCCAUUGGAUAUUCAUUUACCAAAAACUAAAGUGCAUUGGCAGAAUGAUAGUGUCAGCUGCGGUAUGUUCAUGAUAGGGUACAUCGAGCAUAUUUUGCAAUCAGAAAAGAUCAGAAUUAAGCAGAAUAUGAUUGCAAAAAUGCGUCGGCAAUAUGCUCUGGAAAUUUUUUCCAACAAUUGGGAGAGUGAACCUUGAACAUAUAGGCCCUUGUUUGUAUAAUUUUUUUGGUACACAUAAAUUUUUUUAUACAAUUCAUUUUAUACACAUUUUUUGUACACACUUUUUAUUGAAUACAAUUCAUUGUAAACAGAUAUAAUUCUUUCUGUAUACACAAUAUACUUUGUAUAAUUAUUUGAUACACAAUUAACUUUUUUGCCUAUACACAAUUAAUUUGAUACCAAUAAUUUUUUUUCUUUUCUAUAUACAAUAUAUUUAAUUUGAUACACAGUCGGAAGAAGUCAGCGUGUGACACCUUAAAUAUGAUACCACUCAACGUGUCCCAACAUACAUCUGCUUGCACUAAGCGUGUCACCCAAAAAUUUAGCAAUUAGUCAACGUGUGAUGCCGUAAAUCCACUAACACUCGGCGUGUCAGCCGAUAAAUAUACUUCCACUCAGCGUGUUAGAAGAAUUGGGCCGUCGUGUGUCACCCCAGGUUGGCAUUAAUUAAUUUCUAGGUUCGUCGUCUUUCUUUUCCAGGCACACCGGCUGCACCAACCCAACAUUACAUUGAUUAACAUUGAAUAUAUAGAUUUUUCCAUCCAUCUAAUUGCUUCCAGCAUGAAAUUGUUCUGUAUCCAUCCUCCCUUAUUUUUCCAGUUGUUUCCAGGCCAAAAUUCUAUCCUGCCAUUAUAAAAUCAUACGUCUAAAUUUACACACCAGAACUUGUUAUGCAUGGCGGGUUAGAACAAUUUAAUUGUUAUGCAUGGCGUGUCGGAACAUUUUGCUUGUUAUCCUUGGCGUGUCACAACCUUUUACUUGUUAUGCAUGGCGUGUCAGAACAUUUUGCUUGUUAUCCUUGGUGUGUCACAACCUUUUACUUGUUAUGCAUGGCGUGUCAUUUCAUUUUUCUUGUUAUGAAUGGCGUGUUACAAUAUUUUAUUUGAUAUGCAUGGCGUGUGACAACAUUUAACUUGUUAUGCAUGGCGUGUCUCACAUUUAUUCUUUAUUUAUUUCUUCUGUAUACCUUGUUGCACAUUAUGGCUUAACUCAUUGGUGCAUCUGUCCUAUGUUUUGCAGAUCCAACGAUAUAGUAUGAGGAUCUUGACAUUUUGUCUGCUCGGUAAUUCUAUGAGGCCUUUUUAGUUACGGACUUUGUUGCCAAACAUUUCAGACAGAUAAGCAAAUACAUGGCUCUUGUCUGAUAAAGAUUGUAAUUAGAAACAUUUUUUACAAACAAAUAAGAAUGUACUUUAACACGAUCUUGAUCAGAUAGAGGCCUUGACAUGCUUAUCUGCCUGAAAUGUUUGGCAACAAAGUCCGUAACUAAAAGUGCCUCAUAGAAUGAUCGAGCAGACAAAUCCGUAAAGCAAAACGAAUUCAACUACAAUUUUCAGAUACAUUUAGUUAGGCGGUCAGGCUGUCUUCAUUCACAACACAGCUUACAUUUUCAGACAUUCUCCUUCGUAUUGGACAGUUGUUGCGUGUGUGAUCGAUUUGUCUGCAACUUGAACAUGCUUUGGGUCGGCGCAGUCGUGGAGUCGCCGAUUGACUUGGAGAUGGUGCUGGAUUUAUGGAUGGAACUGCAAAUGGGUAUGGGCAGUUCUGUCUGUCAUGCCCGUACCUCUUGCAUUGCGAACAUCUCCGUGCUUGACUGCCUUCACCAGCUGAUGGAAUCCUUCUCCUCCUAGGUUUUUCUGUUUGGCCUCGCCAAGGUGAAGGUAAGACGACAAUUUGUUUCACAUGAGGGAGGAUGCCCCACUCACUAGAAUGCCCUACCGGCCUAAUGGAUCCUGAAUAACCCUCCACGAAAACGGUUGUCUUGUAGUAGUCAGCGCAAAAUUCAAUGGCUUCACGAUUGCAUUUACUGAAAAACACUAAAAACUCAAUCUUCAAGCACAAUGUAAAGGCUAUGUCAAUUACGGUUCAAAUAAGAAAUAAAUAUAUUCUGACCUUAUUACUGCAAUGGCAUGGCUGCAUGGCAGUAAAUCUGUUUGGAACUCACAACAUGAACACGUCUUCCUGGACAAGUUUACAAGUCCAUCCAUCUUCCCGUCUUUAACUUCAAACUUCACUCGAUUGAUAAGCUUAACUAGAAAGCGAUGUGCAUCAUUGAACCUUUUACUCAACUACCUGGCAACCCAAGGGCUGAGGGGCGUGGUCACCUUGACGGCCUCUUCGUACCGUUCAUGGAACCAACACUGGAACAUGUCUUUGAUGAACUCGAUCAAAACAGUGAUCGGCAUUUGUCUUGCAUGCUUCAAGCAUGAGUUAACACAUUUCGCAAUGUUGAAUGUCAUCAUUUGGUAUCGCCUUGUCGGUGAACAUGCACGUGCCCAUUUCUCAGGCCCUAUUCUUAUAAAGUUCGCGUGGGCUCUCAGGUGAAUCUGCUGUAUUUGGUUCAUAUGUCUGUUGAAAUCAGCCACCUUAUAGCAAUCUUAAGCAAGGGUGAAAAGCAUACAAACAUCGUCACGCUUGAACUUGUUUUUAAAAUUUUUUUUCAAGUGGUAACCGCAUAAACCAUGGUGCGCUUCUGGGUAUGCAUUUUGGAUUGCUUUCUUAAUGCCGAGAUGCUGAUAAGAAAUGAACAUAGUGUUUUCAGGACAACCAACCGCAUCAUGCAGCUUAAGAAACCACAUCCACGAGUCUUCGUCCUCAACAUGGCCGAUGCCAAACGCAACUAGAUAUAUGCACUCAUUCACAUCUUUGCAUACAGCGACAAAUAAAACACCUUUGAACCUGCCUUUCAGAUGUGUCGCAUCAAUUGCAACCGUAAGACGCAUUACAUCCCUAAACCCCCGAAUACAAGCCCUGUAUGACCAGAAACAAUAUUUGAAUCUCUCUUCCUCAUCAGUAGCCAUUGCAGUCACUGUGCCAGGAUUUUCUUGUUCCAACAUAUAAAAAUACGAUGGUAGUAGUUGGAAUGACUCCUCCGGUGGACCGAAAACAAGCCUCUCUGCAUACUCCUUCGCUUGCCAAGCCUUACCAUACAAGCAUUCCAAUCCCCACUGAACCCUCAUCUCACAAAUUAUGUCCUUAAGUCUCAAUGCUACUCCAUUACCCCGAAUCUUGUGUGACAUAAGUUCACCAAUCAUCUUCCCACUCGUAGUUGGAAACCGUCCUUGCAAACCAUCAAUGGUACAGGUAUGUACUUUGUGGAAUGUUCGAACUUUCCAAUAUUCUCCUCUAUCAGGUAACUUCAUUGCACGAACACUGAACUUGCAUGCCUUGUCCUUGCAACCAACCUCAUAACGAGCUUUACAUGACUUUUUUACUCUUAUCGCAAACUUCUCUUUUAUAACCAACAUGUUCAAAGCUCGUUUCAACUUUGCCUUCGACGAAAACAUUCUUCCUUUGUAUAAGCGAUCUUCGGCACAUGUCGACUCCUCAGUGGUAAUUGUUUGGAAGAAGAACCUUUCUGCACCUGUAAUUACCUACAUACGAGAUAUCCUUGCAUUUCCCCUUUCCUGAUCACUAUCAUCGAGCAAUGUAUCAAAGGAACGAAUCUCGUUCUCACCAACGAUGGGGUUAUUGUAUAUGGGGUCAUCACACUGAACAUCUCCUACAUUAACACCUCCAAUAGGUUCCGUUUCGCCUUCAACAUUAUUGCAAACUCGAAUGUCACUGUCAUAAAGGCAGUCAUCGUCUAAACUGUCACCUUGCGAUUGUUCAAGCCCAUCAUCUGAAGUGUGAUCAAAUCUAUCUUCACCGGCAGCGAACAAAUUCUCAUUUCCCUCAUCAAAUGCAGUAUUAUACUCCAACGUCGCAGUGUCACCCUCCAACCUCACAUUGAUAUCCUCAACUAUCGUAUUCUCAUUUGACAAUGGCAUUUCACACUCUACAGUUUCACCCGAUCAUUGCAUUUGUUCAAGAGAAGAAAGAAAUUGGUUUAAUGCACAUCCUGAUGGAAAUUGUGCAGCCAACUGUUCUGUUAAUGUCGUUUGUCUACCGGGCUGCACAAACUCUUGUGCAUACCUCAAUUGCCAUUGUUGUGGGUUACGGACCGAAUGCUGUGGUAUAUGUGAAGCAUUUUAAAUCUCAUUUUAAUUCAGUUGAUUACUAUGUUGUCCAACUUCUCCAUGUGACAUAACAUUUGUUUGGCGUCUCUUAAUGCUGACAUACACAGCCGGAACAUUCCUCUGUUCUAGCAAAAUUAAUGCAACAUCUUCAUCGUCCUUGAUAAUUGGCCGUGAUAGCUCUCCAAGUGUACUGAUCAAUGCAUGUAACUCAAUCUCGUCAAUUUCUAAGUUUACCCCAACAACAUCUUCAACCAGCUUUAUCAAGCCCAUAAACGACAAAUCACUCUUAACCCCCCGCAUUCGUGACUCACCACCCUUGUAAAUGCCAUCCAGCCACUGACCAUCGUGUCUUAUCACAAGUCGCAUAAUUGAAACCCCACUGAAAUUUUGAAAAAAAAAUUAUCAAUCAUUUUACACAAUACAUGCCGUGAUAAAAAAUUUGUCAGUCGUGUUGUUACACGCCAUGCAAAUAACGUAAAAUGUUGUAACACGCCAUGCAUAUCAAGUCAAAUGUCGUGACACGCCAUGCAUCAGUAUCGUUACACGUCAUGCAUCACUGUCGUGACACACCAUGCAUCACUGUCUUGACACGCCAAUCACUGUAAUUACUGACUGGUUACACCAACAUCCGUGACACGCUAAAAACCCAAAAAACCAGUUAACCCAUGACACACCAGGAACAGCCAUGACACGCCAAAAACCCAUAAAUUCAGUUAACCCACCACACCCCAAGAACAGCCGUGACACGCUAAAUAACUCUUCACUCAUGUUAUAGAUGCAUGGCGUGUAACAACUUUGGGCAAUGUUUCUAAUCCAUCUUAUCAUUUACACCAAAUGUUUCAAAAAUUUAAGUGUGUUGCAGAAAUAAACCUAAUAACAGGUACCUUGAUGUCAUCUCUGCUAUAGGGUGUGUUAAUCUACGACAAUGUGGCCAGAUGUCGAGAGAUAAACCACAGCCCGAUGACGAUGGUGCUCAACAGAGAGUUGACAGAGCUCAUACAAUUCAAAGAUUUGAGAGAGCUGACAAUGAUGGUGCUCAACAGAGACUUGCCACAGUUGAGACAAAGAAAGAUGACCGAGCCCAAACAGCUUUGUGCAUUUAUUUUUAAUGUUUUUCAUUUUCUCUCUGGUAGGAGGCAGAUAGCUCAAACAGCUAAGCAUUUAUUUGAAACGAUAUUUUUAAGGGCAUUUUGGUCUAAUUCAUGUUUAUUUUUGGGUAGAAACAGAUAACUUUAUAUGGGUGGUUAUUUCUGAAAUCACCUUAUCACGAUAUCCUUCUCUCACAAUUUCCUCUUUUUAAAUUUGGGAAGAAGCUUGCUAGGAGUUCUCUCUCUGUCCCUUAAGGGUUGUGUGCUUGUGGGGGGUGGGUGUUGGGGCACCCCUAGACCCAAUUUGAGACUGUUGUGAGUACUCAGAAUAAAGGAAAGAAAUUUUUGUGUUUAAGAUUGAAAAAUCACUUUCACAUUACAUCAGCAACGAAGAUGCUAUAUCUUGCUAAUAUUCUGGAACUUGUUAUCCUUUGAAAGGCAAAAAUUAGAUAUGUCUUCAGUAUGUUUUAUUACUAGGAGAUUGAUUCUUCAACAUGAGUAGGAUCUAUAAUUGCCUAUAUAUGAAGUUGGUCUUAAUACUUGUGAGUUGGUGGACUAUACUAGGGCAAUUAACUGAAAUCUUACGAAGGGGAAUUGUAGGGGAAAUUAUUUAGGAAACUAAGCAGUUGGAGUUUGGCUUUAAUGUAAAGAUAUUUUGGUAACUAAGCAAUAAUGGUUUGGCUUUAAUAUGAAGAUAAUUAAGUGAUUUCCACAAGUUUUAUUAUAAGUAAUAUGAUAUAAGAUGCACUUAAGCACUUAGCUUUAUGAUUUGUGCAUGUAUCCCUUGCUAAAAGAGCUGGUUUUAAAUUACCCUCCCCUAAUGAAAUAAAAUAAAACAUGAUAAUUGAUGGUUGUGCCCUCAAACUUUUGCCUUCAUAUGGUUUAUGUUGGUGGAAUUAAAACAAACUCUUUUGAUGAUCUUAGUGUAGAAGAAUCUGGUACAUUUUAGGGCUUAGCAUACUAAAUUAAACUAUGUCAUAAUUCUCAAAACACUGCAUUGCUGACCUUUUUUUCAAGUCCAUACAUUAAGUAGUAGAAAUACCUGCAAAUGGUUCUAAAGCAUACUUAAAAUAUUACUGCAGUACUGAUCUGUUUGGUAUUUCAUUUUUCUUGAUGUUUUUAAUUCUAAUUGAAAAUCAUAAAUCUAGUUGACAUUCUGAGCUCUUAGUUUCUAUGUUAAUUUAACAUACUGCAGAUUGUGGUUCUGGCAUAGGAAGAAUAACCAAGAAUCUUCUCAUAAGAUAUUUUAAUGAGGUAAGGUCAUUUUUCUCUUUCUAUUAGCAUAUUUUUAAUAUUUCUGACAUUUACCAUCUUUGCAGUUUAUUGAUAACAUGGUUCAUAGUGCAUAAUUUUUACUACCUAAAGAAUUUCUCAGUUGUAUUUGAAUGAAAAGCAAAAUUGGGUAGUGCCUUUUAAAAAAUUCAUGCAGGACAUGAGGAGGGUACCCAUUAAUUUCAAGGUACCUAAACCUUAACCCUAUAAAAAAUCAAAUAUCUAAACCCUAUUAAUUACCUGAAUAAUUUUAAAAGUUACUACCCUAACCUUAACCUUAACCCUAAUACAUUCCCGCUAUCCUAUAAUUACCCUAACCUAUUUAAAAGCCCGAUUAGAUAAAAAAUUUAUUAAAAUGUUCUUCAUGGGUACCCAAUUACCUAAACCCGAACCUGUAUUCAUAUACAAUAAUAUUUCUUCUACAUUUUACAUAUAAUUAACUACUAAUUAAAUUAAUAAAAGCACAAAUAAUAAAAUUUAAAUUUAAAUAAUCAAAAACUAUAAAGUGUGUUUAUAAAUUGAACAUAAUAUAUAAUAUAAAUCAAUAUUAUUUUAUUGUUUAAUAGUUAUUAACUUAUAUAAUAGCAAUGAUAUUCUUUAUAAAUGAACAUAAUAAAUAAUAUAAAGUAUAUGUAUUAAAAGACAAUACAAGUUAUAUACUAUAAAGUGUGUAUAUAUAAAUUAUAAUUAAUAAUUUUAUAAAUUUAUAUUUUAUAANAAAUUAUAAUUUUUAUAAUGUUAACAAAAAAUAAAAAGUAAAUACAUUUAUUUUUAAAGUGUAUAUAUAUAUAUAUAUAUAUUAAAAGUAUUUUAGUGUAUAUAUAUAAUAGUGAUUAUAUUCUUUAUAAAUGAACUCAAUAUAUAUAAAGUAUAGAUAUUAAAAGAUAUUACAAGUUAAUUAAUAAUCAUAGUUUCAUUAAUUAAUUUAAUUAAUUAUAUGAGUUUGUCCUUUACUACAAGAAAUUAAAAAAAAUAGUUAAGUUUCAAAACUAUUCUAAUCUCACAACUUCUUUUUAGAUAAUUAAGUUUAUCUAUAUAAAAGUAUCUAUAUUAUAAUUAAUAAUUUUAUAAGUUAUAAUUUUUGUAAUGUUAACACAAAAUAAAAAGUAAAUAUGGUUAUAUUUAAAGUGUGUACACACACUAAAAAUGUUUUAUUAUAUGUAUAAUAGUAAUUAUAUUUUUUAUAAAUGAACCCAAUAUAUAUGUAGACACUAGUUUUUUAGGUGAAAUAAACAUUAAAAAAAUAAAAGAAAAAAGAAAAAAAGAGAGAAAAUCAAAAAAAUAAUAAAACAAAAAUCAUAAACAAAAAUGAAUUAAAAAUAAUAAUAAUAAAAAUAGGAGAGAGAGAGAGAGAGAGGGGUACGACUGGUAGGGUGCGGACGCACCCUGCCAGGCACCACCCUCACUUUGCUAUACACGAAAAAUUCGCGUCUAGCAGAGUAAUGGGAGCGUGCCCCCUUUUGCCCAGUAUAAAGGGGGCACUAUAGCACAGGGAUCGGAGGAAUCGAUAAUAAAAAAAAUACCUUGGUAACAUUCAGCAACCAAAAAACCCUAGGAAUCUCUUAAAACCGAAAACAAACCCAGAAAAAAAUCGCUUGGAGUAAAAAACCUGCAAACCAAAAAUUCCUAAGAAUCCCUAGCAAAAUCUAGCAACCAAAACACCCAGCCACAAUCAAAAACAUCCUAAGCUUUCUAGCAGCCAGAAACCAUCCACAAUCGAAACAAAAAAAUUAAAAAAUCACAAAAAGGGAAAACGGGUAGCCGUGUUCUCUUUUUGGGGAUUUUUAGUUUGUUUUUUUAGGGGAGAUUUGGAGGGGAUUUCAGCAACCGAUGAGGUAUUUGAGUUUGGGGAUUUCGUGCCGCCGUAGUAGAGAGAGAGAGAGAGAGAGAGAGAGAGUGAGUGAGUGAGUGAGUGAGGAUUUGGGGUUUUUGGGAUACCACCGGUUUUAGAGAAAUAGAGUUAGGGCUUGGGUUUGCUACCGGUUCAAGGAAGGAUUGACCGGCGACUAGAAGGGAAGAUCUAGUCGGUCGACGACAGGGAGGGUAGAGCCAGAUUCAGACGGUAAAGAGAGAGCAGAAUCAGGCGAUCGGCGGUGAGGAGUGUGAUGCACCGUUUGAGCAGGAAAGGAACAGGAAAGUGGCUGUCGGUGAAGGGUUUUUGAGAGAGAGAAGCUGACGCCGGUGAAGAGGGGAAGGAAGAAGAGUUUUUUGGAGAGAGAGGACAGUAAUCGGCGGCUAGACAGAGAAACAAAAGGUAGAAAAUGAAAGGUUCUAGGGAGAAGAAAGAAAGGUGAGCGGUAAGGGAGAAGAAAAGAAAAAAGAAAAAAAAAGGGAAGGUUUUUCUCCAUUGCACCAAACAAUGCCGUUUUGGGCAUACCAGGGGUGGCUGUGUAAAGCACCAGACAGUGGGCUUAGUGAAGAUCGUGGGUCAACAGGUUAGCUUGGGCCCACUUAGCCCAAUCAGGUAAAAUAUUACUCAUUGCCAAAUGGGUCUGUGGUGAUUUGGGCUGUCUAAACUGUUAUGAUAUGGCUUGUUUAGAUUUAACCCAAUUUAUUUAGUUAGAGCUUUAAUACUUGAUGAUAUAAAAUUAAUUUUAAGUUAUUAUAAUGUUCUAAAAAUUUCUGGAUAAUAGUCCUAGGGUUAGGAAAUUACUAAAGAACAGAAUAACAUAAAAAUAAGGAUAGCAAAUAUAUAUAUAAAAAAUAAUAAUAAUAACAUUUUAGAAAGCGUUUAGUUAUGCAAAGAACUUAAGUUUAGGAGAAUGUUUAUUGCAAAUAUAUAAAUAACCCUUUUAAAUACAUGUAUAUAAAAAUAAUAUAUAAAAAAAUAUAUAAAAAUUACCAUGACAUCAACUACAAAUAUAAUACUGAUGAUGGGAUGAUUGGUCGGGACGGUAGGAGUCGCAAUCCCAAGCUAAUUUUCUUUAGGUUCGGAAUCCAAAUUAAGGCUUCACCAGUACGAUGGGAGGGCCUCGAUUUUGAGAUUCUGAGAUUUUUAUUCUAAAUAAAUAAAAUUUUACUACAUAAAGAAAAAAUUAGUCAAAAAAUAAUAAAUAAUAAAUAAAUAAAAAUAGAAAAAAUAAAAAUAAAAUAAGCAUAAACUUCACGAACAUAACAUAUAUUUUUAUUGCAUCAUGCAUACCAUUGCAUAUAAGUAUUUUUGUUUACGAGUUAAGCCCCGAUGAUGGGAUUUUUCGAGGAUCUUGUGAAGGUUAGUAUUUCUUGGAAAGUUUCCUAGGUGAAAAGAUGUCUUCGGGUCCCACCAAUAUGAUGGGAGGGCUCGAAAAAACAUCUUUAAUAAAAGGCUUUCGCUCGUAUUAGGUUCAUUAUUCACGAAAAUAUUAUUUUUUAAAGAAAAACGUGCGAUAACCCCGAUGAUAGGAUUUAUUCGUUGAAUUUGUGAAGGCGAAUUUCUUGGAUAAUUCUCUAAGUAAGAGAACACCCCGGAUCCCACCAGUAUGAUGGGCGGAUUCGGGAGAACGUCUUCGAUAAAAGGUUAUUCGUUCGACAUUUUUUAUCUCACGCCGUGCAUUUCAUUUUACCUUACACUUGCAUUUCAUUUUAAAAUCAAACAAAAUAAUUUAAUAAAAUUGGAGAUAUAAUAAGCAAGUUAUAGCUAAGGAAAUUAAAUGAACUUAAAAAAUAAAGCCUAAUAGGAUAAUCUAAAAAUAGUACCGUUCAUGGAACGGGCGUUUCAGGGGUGUUAAUCUUUCUCCGGGCGUAACCGUACUCCCGAACCUAGAUCUCGAAAAAUGUAGAACAAUUUAAGAUUCUUUCGACGGGCUUAAAUCUAAUUAAAACUCUAUCGAUUAGAAUCGAGUUAAUAGAUGGCCAAUCACACUUAGUAAAAAAGAUUGGUAGCGACUCCUAGUUUUUAGAGUUUUCACUCACGUCUAGCGGUUGGGUUCCCGGACCUGCACGUUACGACAAUAUAUAAAGUAAAUAUAUUAAAAGAAAUUACAAGGUAAUUAAUAAUCAUAGCUUUAUGAAUUAAUUUAAUUAAUUAUAUGAGUUUAUCCUUAAUUAUAUGAAAUUAAAAAAAAUAACUAGGUCUCAAAACUAUUCUAAUCUCACAACUUCUCUUAAGCUUUGCAUAUUAUAAGUUUAUAUAAACAAAGGUAUAUAUAUUAUAAUUAAUAAUUUUAUAUGUUAUAAUUUUUUUAAUUUUACUACAAAAUAGAAAGUAAAUNAUAUUUCUCUUACAUAUUCUAUAUAAUUUACUAAUGAUUAAAUUAAUAAAAACACAAAUAAUAAAAUUUAAAUUUAAAUAAUCAAAAACAAAUAUCUCAAAUAUAACUAAUAGAAAGUAAAUAUAUUUAUAUUUAAAGUACAUAUACAUACACACACAUUAAAAGUAUUUUAAUAUAUGUAUAUAUAUAAUAGUAAUUAUAUUCCUUAUAAAUGAAUCUAAUAUAUAUAAAGUAUAUAUAUUAAAAGACAUUACAAGUUAAUUAAUAAUUAUAAUUUUAUGAAUUAAUUUAAUUAACUAUACGGAUUUAUCCUUAAUUACAUAAAAUUAAAAAAAAAACAUAACUUGGUUUCAAACUAUUCUAAUCUCACAACUUCUCUUAAGCUUUGCAUAUUAUAAGUUUAUAUAAACAAAAGUGUAUAUAUUAUAAUUAAUAAUUUUAUAUGUUAUAAUUUUUUUUAAUUUUAAUACAAAAUAGAAAGUAAAUAUAUUUAUAUUUAAAGUGUAUAUAUACUAAAAUUAUUUUAGUAUAUAUAUAGUAGUAAUUAUAUUUUUUAUAAAUGAACUCAAUAUAUAUAAUGUAUAUAUUAAAAAACAUUUCAAGUUAAUUAAUAAUUAUAGUUUAAUAAAUUAAUUUAAUUAACAUAUAUGUUUGUAUUUAAUUAAUGAAAUUAAAAAAAAUAGUUAGAUUCAAAAACUAUUCUAAUCUCAAAGACUCUCUUUAAGUAUAUAUAUUAUGAGUUAUAAUUUUUGUAAUAUUAAUACAAAGUAAAAAGUAACUAUAUUUAUAUUAGAAGUAUAUAUAUAAUAGUAAUUAUAAUCCUUUGUAAUAUGAUAUGAUAUUCAUAUUAUUUAAACAUAAUUUAUAAUCUAAUAAUUUUUUAAUUGAAAUAUUUUAAUGUAAUCACAUUAAUAAUUUGAGUAACCAGACUUUUUAAUAUAUUUGUCAGCUUUUAAUAAAUAUAUUAAUGUUGAUUAUUUUUAAUUUAAUCAUUUAAAUAACAACAAAAUAUAUAUAAACAGGUAUUGGGAUCGAGUUCGAGGUGGGUACCCGUGUAACUUGAAUAGUAACAUAAUCGGGUUCAGGUAGCGGGUACCCAAGAGGUACUACCCCGAACCUGAUAUGGGUAGUGAAAUCACUAUCCGAACCCGUCCUAAACUUGAUUAUAGGGUAUCUUAAUCCGAUAUAACCGGGUUGGAUACCUGUGGGUAUCUUAUAAUAGGGUAUGCAUUGCCAUCCCUACACAUUAAUAUGUAAUUCCAAUACAGUGAACAUGAUGUGGAACAUGGUGGACUUUUUCUUUUUCCUCUCUUUUUCUUUCAUCGAAUGAUAUGAAUCAGUGACAUAGUAUUAGUUGGAGCUACUAUCUUAAUAAAGCUGCAUAGUACUUUGUGAUAGCUAUGCUUUUGGACCCCUCUUCCCUUUACCAUUCUCCAGGUUGAUCUACUUGAGCCAGUUUCGCAUUUCUUAGAUGCUGCCCGUGAAAGUUUGUCUCAGGAAUAUUUUGUAGCCUCUGAUGCGCACAAAGCAAAUAAUUCUACUGUGUCUCCCUUCAGGUCAUGUACUUCAAGACUACAUUCACACAUGGAUACAUGCUUCUUGAUGUCUUGAAGUAUUCAUAACUAUGGUUAAGUCCAUGUAAGCUAUGUAUUUCCAACUUUUCACGUUUCCCUAUAUUGCGGAUGUAGCCAUGUAAUUUGCACCUCAAGCAGGCAUGUUGUUUGAGUACAAUCCUGGGAAAAACUUACAGAAGUUAAGGUAAACAUGUUAAAUAUGGGUUUGCAUCUGGAACUCACAUUUGAAUCUGGGCAACAUAGUCUGUACUCUGUAGGCGGCUGGAUUCAAGUAAAUUUUUGCAAACAAUUAUUUACUCUUUUGUGUGUGUUGGGGUGGGGGGGGUAGGGGACAGCAUAUGGGCUAGUGAAUGAGCCCUUUAAGUUGGUGAUAUAUGUGCUUGUCUUCUUCUGAUGCUUCUGGCUGUUAAAUUUUACUUUAUAAAACAGAAAUUUGACGACCAUUUUUUUUUUGUCUUUUGCUUUUUCAGGAGUUCACCCCUGAUGCUGGAAGGUACAAUGUUAUUUGGAUUCAGUGGUGCAUUGGUCAUCUCACAGAUGACGACUUUGUCUCAUUUUUUAAGAGAGCAAAGGUGAAUAAAUCUUCUUCUUGAGACAGAACUUACUUUUUAUUUGACAUGUUGUGCUGUGUGGAAGUGCAUGGAAAGAUCAAAAUUAUGUAUUGAAAUUUUCUUGCCUGCUGUCUACUAUACAUUCGAAGUGCCUUGUUCUGAUUUUUGAAUUAUGAACUGUCAGAUCAUUGCAAUGGUAUCUCAAAUUUUCCUUUUCCAAAUUUAUUGCUUCAUGCUUUCUCUCUUGUAACGUCUUUUAAACCUUCUCACAGCUAUAGGAAUUAAGGUUGUCUAGAGAACACAACAUAGCAAACACCGGAAGGAUGAUAUCGUCAAACUCUUUUUUCUUUUUGCCCUUUCUUUUUGCAAUGUGUCGUGUUGUUCAUUCUAUUCUUCUUCCUGCUAGGUAACUAGCGCAUUUGAUGGGUUAGUUUGGAGUGUUUGGGCCCAUCCCUAGCACCACAGAAACAAGGCUGGAUAAUACUUUAUAAUUCAUACAGCUAUUUUGCUAUCAUCCGUUUUCUCACCUUACAAAAGCUUGUGACCAAAUUUUGUUGUGCCUUGUGCAUUGAAAUAAGAUUUAAGAAAUGAUGGUAGGUUGACUUUUGUCCCUUAAGUUUGUAAAUGGUGGGAAAUAAAAUUAAAUCUAGAAAGUGCCAUAUUCAUUUCAUUUUUUCCAGGUGCUGUUAAGCAUAACCUUUUACACUGCCUUCAAUGUAUUUUCAUCAAAAUUAAGCAAAACAUAUUAAUAAUAAAAAUCUCCAACAAGGAAAUUCUUGGGCAUGUGUAUGUGUAUGUAAUUUGGAGACCUGAUCUCUAAGUUGUGUCCUGGAAAGAACCUUGUUGAAAAUUAUUAUUCUUGCAUAUAUGAUUUAAAAGAUUCUAAUUUGCAUUUUAAUUUGAUAUACUAAUGAAUUUGUUGAUUCCAGGUAGGCCUUAAACCUGGUGGAUUCUUUGUCCUGAAAGAGAACAUUGCUAGAAACGGUAUUGUCUUUAUGACUCUUUGAUUUUUCUAAGCAUGUUUGUUUGCCCUCCCUCCCUCUCUCCCUCCCCUUUUUAAGAAGUGCUCAAGUUUUGUUUAAAGUAUUCCUCAAACUUUCUUAUGUUUUGGUAUUCUGUUGUAAAUUUUCGUGAAGCUGUUUUUUUUUUUUGGAAAUGCCGCAUGUCAUCUCACGUAUGAGAAGACAUAAAGUUGCUUUUUUGAGCUGAUAUUACUUUUUAACUUCGUCUUAUUAUGUAAUUAUCUGCCCUCUACAACUUUGAAGUAAAAUAAUAGUUUAUAAUAAUAGAUGUUCAAUUAAAAGAUAAAUGGAUAAAGGAAUUUUUAAGCUCCAUUUACACAAUCCAUUGCUUGAUACUAAGGGAAGCAGCAAGUUUUUGUUUUAUGCAUUCCUCAAACUUUCUUAUUUUUUGGUAUCUUGCGGUAAAAUUUUCAUAAAGUUGCUUUCUAGAGCUGAUAUAACUGAUUAACUUUGUUUUAUUAUGUAUUCAUCUGCCCGCUACUGCUUGAAGUAUACUAGUUAAUGUUUUAAAUGUUUAAUUAAGGAUAAAUGGGUAAAGGAAUAUUUAAGCUCCAUUGUCUUAUUUCGUUGCUUGAUACCAAGGGAAACAGCCAAAAAGUGUUGCAACUUAUAAUUCGCAGGUUCAGGAUGAGUUUCAUCUACUCAAAUGGGUAUGGGGUAUAAUUUUAUUAUGCCACCUAUUUGGGACACCUUUUGGUAACACUGUCUAUACAACUUUCUUCACUGAAAAUUCAUGAUGUAGUGGGGAAGUAGAAACAAUAACAAGAAACCAAAACAGUGAACAAAACCAGAACAAAGGUUAAAAUUGAGGUAAAACCGAAGUCGUAACAAGUUACAAGCCAGUAAGGCCAAUUGUCGAGCAUCUUAAGGUUAAAUAAACAAGUCACUCCCAUCUCAUCUGUAAUAGAUUGAUUCAAACCAGCUAGAUAACGAGAAGUCAACUGCUCAUUAGUCUCUUUCAAACCAACCCUAGGGAAAGGUCGUUGAAACCUGAAUGAAAUUUCUCAUUCAACUCCAUUUAAUCAGCAGCGGAAAUUGCCUCCUCAUCUUCAUUUUCAUGUGUUCCCAAGUGUUGAUUUUGGCUUGCCUGGAUGUGUUUGCUGCUCGUCAACUCUCUUCCACCAUUGAAGUGCACGCAGUCCCUUCAACUUAAGCUUCACAAACAGCACCUUUCUUUGUUCUGCCAUUGGUUUCUACUAAAAAUAAUUUUCGAAACUAUCUUUCUGAUCUGAAUAAUCUUUUGCAUGCAUCUUUUUCCGGAAGUCAUCUACCUUAAUUCUAACUCCACCACCAUUGAAGUCUAGGCAUGUAACAAUCAGCCUUCCAAUCUACCACAAACAGCACUAUUUGCUGGUCGAGCAUUAUGAAAGGGGUUUUUAUCCUCUCCAUAUUCAAUUUCAUCCUCAAGAACACCUACCGGUAAACCGAAAGGGUCAGUAUUGCCUUGUGGAUUCUCCAUACAGGCUCCCAUUGGUUCCUGUCACUUUAAAGCUUGCACAGCCUGCAACAAAUCUUCAAUCAUACCCAUCAACUCAGCCAGUUCUAUUUGCCGGUCUUGAUUUCUUUUCCACGUCCGCUAACAAGUCCUCUACCACGAUUAGCCAUGGUUUAUAAGCUAAAAUCCUAGUUCAACUUUAAGAUCUCUUCAUCUGAUACCACUUUGAUGUAGUAUGGAAGUAGAAACAACAAAAACAAAAGAAAAACAAUGACGAAAACCAGAACAAAGGCUAAAAUUGAUCUUAAGAUCAUAGUAGGAACAAGUUAAAGCUGUCUAAAGUUACAGCAGCUUUUAAUUGUAGCCCUUCGAUACAAACAACCCCAUCUAAUCCUAGCCAUUCAAACUAAUUAAAAAUGAUCACAUGCUAAUCACGACACAUGACUAGAUAGAAAACAUAAUUACCAACUUUUAACUAAAGUAAAACAUAAUAAAAUAACCAAUUGGAGAAAAAUUUAAGAAUGCUCUUGCAUAGCCUUGCCCAACAAUUAAACUUGCCUAAGGCUUGACUUAACCUAGGACUUAAGUCUCAUAAUUUGCUUGCAUUCAACUCACAAAAUACUUGGAUUCGAUCAGAUUAUUGUUGAGUUAUUCUUGAGCUCAAGUGACCAAUCGAGUCUAGUUCAAGUGUUUAUAUUACUCAGUCAAGAUAGUUCAAGAGCGUAAUCAACUUUUAAUUUUUUUAAUAUAUUUUAAAAUUCCAUGUAUGUAAUACUCAUAUAAAACUAAAUAAUACAAAGAUCAAUCAAGUCCAGCUUGGAGGUCUCAGACAUAUGUACUUUCCGAAAAAAUGUUCAAGUUGAGCUUCAGGUCUUAGUUUUGUAAUUGAGUCGUGUCAUCUUCAAGCUUAUCAUUUUGUCAACUUGAUUUGGCUCAGUUAUGCACCUAGACUUUAACCAACUCAAACUGACUAAAAAGGUUACUGAAUUGAAAGUUGAGACAGGGACAACUCAAACACAAAGUAAUCUGGAAUUCUAAAUAUCGAAUUCUUAAUCAGACUCAACUUCCAUUUUUGUAAUCUGCUGUGGUAUCUUAAAUGUGCUCAAAGUUCUUAAAGUUCUUAAAGUUUUUGUAAUCAGACAGGGACAAUUUUGUAAUCUGCUGUGGUAUCUUAAAUGGUGCUCAAAGUUCUUAAUCAGACUCAACUUCCAUUUUUUUGAUUCUGAAAAACAAAACCACCUUCACUGGCUAAAAUAAAGUGGGAAUCAAUUCAGUAUGGUACAAUUUAUAGAUAUGGUACAUUUAUAGAAAUGCUGAAUCAUUUGUCACUGGCUAACAUAUUAAUUUCAAUUCAGACAUCGAAUUUUGUGAUUAGAAAUGAAGCAGCUGAAUAUGGGUAUUAAGUGGAAGAAUUGGUUUAGCUUUUCAAAAGGAUAGGAUAGAAGCAGAAUUAUGCUUUGAGCAAAGAGAGAAGAAGGAGCCACUACGAAGCUCGACUUGAACAUCGCAAGCAAGUAAAAGUUCUUUAAGGCUUUUAAUGCUCUUUAUUUUUUUUUAAAUGAAAUUGUUAACAUUGAAUAGUAGAUGAUUGGGUAGUAGAAAUGAGAGGUUGGUGUUGUUAAUGCUUUAGGGGACUUAAAUUAGAAAGUAGUAGACUACAGAACUUUUAGAGAAAUCUAGGGGGAAACAGCUAUAUAUGUAAAUUCAUUAGAUUGGAUUUGGUAUCAGAAGAUUUAAGGGAUUUAUUCAUUUAUUUAUUUAUUUGGGGGUAAGAUGGGCAAUUUAGAGGCAUGAGGGGUUGGGGGGGGAGGGAUAAAAGUCCAAAAAUUAUAAGGAGAAAGAUAAGGAAGGAGGUUAGUGGUGGGAUGCAGGCUCUGUUUUGGAGAAGUGGCCUCAUGACAGGAAAAUUCAGACAAGUUAGGUGAAAAAAGUUAGAUAAGGUGAAGAGUUGGACUUUGUUUAAUGUGCUGGGCAAAGAUGGUGUGUAGGGGGUAGAAGGCUAGGACUUUGACACUAUUGUUGUCAGAAGGGGCUUUAUGUGUUGUUGAGGGGGUGAUCAUGGUAGUGAACUUGUAACUUUAGGAAGAAUCCAGAAGUGGUAACAUCCUACCCUAUCGAUCAAGGAUUCAUGAACUGGAUUCAAUUACAGAUGUUAAGCGUGAAAUUAGUUUGGAAAUGGGUUCGGUUGCAACUCAAUUAGGACUUUGUACUGCAGCAAUAACCAUUGGCAUUACCUGUAAUAAUAACUAAAAGAUUUACUUGAGCUUUCAGUUCUUCAAUCUCGUCUUGAAAAGUGCUCAAUGCAUCCCUUGUCUCAUCACUCAGGAUAUUAUUCAUCUCGGACAGUUCUCAUUAGACUGUCUCAAUUUCAUCAAUUCCUUCACGGGGAACCAUUUGAGCUUUUACUGUGGCCACUACGGCCUCUGGCUCAUAUCCUCUGAUGGUCCUCUAGUGCACUCCACGUGGUCAUCAUUUGUACACUUUAAAUCAGCACCUCUCGCUCGUGUUCUGAUACUAACUGUUACGAACUACACUAUUUCGCCUAAAUAUACAAUAGUCUAUGCGGCACUUGAGUGGACGCUUCCACGCAAGUCAACCAAUACUCGGUUAUAUCUAAUCCAACAUUAAUAAUAACAACAAAUCAGACUAAGAGAACUCGUAUCAAAAUCAAAAGGCAUACCGAAUGCUAUAUGUGUAACCACUGAGUUAUAAAAAGGAAAAGUGCUUUAUUAAUAUAAAAUUAAUUACAAAGAGAUCGAGAUAGGUCAUCGUCAGGCCAUAGGGACAGCCUUAUAUGAUUCACUACAAAUAUACCCUUACCAAUGAAGCAGGCUAACAAUCCGCUGAUUGUUCAUUUUCUAUAAAGAGUUUACGAGAUUUUAUAAGUAUUCUAUUAAUAAUCAUUACAAUGCUUGAAGUAAGGAUAUUUCUUUUCUAAAAGAUCUCCUUUCUAAAAAUUUGACAAGUAUUUGUGAAAGUAUCACCACGAGCCAUUACAUUGUUUGAAAGAGGAACAUUUCCCUUAGAGGUAUAAAAGACUCAAGCUCCAAGAUAAUUCUACGCUAUCAUAAUCCGAUACAAGGUUGGCUCAUGACACAAUGGCCAGCUCGUUCAUCCUUGUUAUAGCCGUUAGUGCACAGAAAAAGUUUUCUGUGAUUUGCAAUCCUGUUUUGUUGGUUUUAUUUUUCCUAGGCUAGAACUGUGGGAGUGAUUUUGUGAUGAGUAUAAAUAUCAUUUGUAACAGUUGUUGCAAUUGAUUUUUUCCCUGAUCAAUGAAAAGUAUAUUUCCUUUCUCUCCCGCAUGACUCUGUUUUCUUCUUCUUCAUUUUAGCCUUCUUUGCAGAAAUACUUUUAAGUUUCUUAAAAUCCUUUCAGGAACAAAGCAAAUGAAAGGUGCAAAUUACUGUGUUUUGUGGAUUUGGUGUUUAUCAAUCACCAAAUGAAGAUUAUUUUUAGCUCACUUCCAUGGUCUCUUGCUGGCCUGGAGAUACGGUAUACUCAGGUUUAAAGCAAAGGAAAUUGUGUGUUGGUUAUGUUGAUGUUUGGUGCCUGAUCUUUGCAAUGAGGAAGCUGAAAUUACAUUGAAUCUGGUUGCUUGGGAUAUUUGUUUUACUACAGGUCUUAUGCGAUGGUCAUUGGGAUUAAUAUGUUUCAAGCUACUGGUUUUUCUUAUCCACUUUUUGAUGGCUAUAAAUUAAGUCUUCUCAAAAGCUGACUUGAUAAGAGUACUUCCAUCCAGUCAUGCACGACCAACUUAUUGCAGUGGUCCUAUGAUUUAAUCAACUGGAUUGCCAUUAAGGUUACUAUUUUCAAGCCAUAAGUUUUUUCUGCAACGUGCUUUGCAGUUCUCAUGUGUCUAUUUAUUAUUUGCUCCAUUGACAACUCUUCAUUAUCCUUUUUUGAUCAAAAAAUUUAAAUUUUAUUUUUUAAAUUAAAAAUGUAUAUAUAUAUAUAUAUAUAAAUUAUUUAUAUAUUUCCUUCUACUUUCUCAUUGCCACAAUUGGACUAUAAGCAGCAAGAAAUUUUCAUUUUGGCCCAAUAGGAGCAAGAACUGAAAAAUACAUGUUCUUGAUUUUCUGCAAAAUACGAUUUGAAUCAUGCAAGCAUAAGUGUUGAAAGUGUAGAAAGUUCUAACCCUAACAAUACGGAAGUGUAGAAAGUUUACGGUUGAUUUAAGUCUCAUAUAAUAAACAAAUUGCAAGUCUACGUCGCAAUCUGAUCCAUUAUUUUUUAUAGGGCUUUUUGUGGUUAGAAAUCUACAAAUAUAAAGAAAAAAAAUUGUAAAAUUGCCAAUAAAACUAAUUGAUGUAUCGAUUUAGAUAAGAUAAUUUUGAGUAUAGAAAUGCUUUUCGGUAAAAGUUGUAGUCUAUAAACUUAAACAAAUAUUAAAUCAGAGUGCAGGAACAAUUAGAAUACUAAUUCCACAUAAUAGCACCUAUAAAUGUGAAAUUGUAGAUCCAAGAAUUUUUCAACUAAUUUCUUUGUAUUCAGUCAAGGGUUUUUUUUCGUCUAAUUCUUGUUGCUGGUGAAAUUGUAGACACAUCCCUCUCAUUUACCCUCAUGCAUCCAGUCAUGUCAAUUGCUGGUAAAAAAUAAUUGUAGCGAGUUGUGCACGGUGAAGUUAUUGCAGUUGGCCAUGUGACCCUUCAAAUCGACAAGCUACUAGUUUUUCUUGUAACGUGCUUUCCAAUUCCCUUCUAGUCAUCAUUACUCAAUUGACUAUCUUUUGGAUUCACACGUCCAAUUUGAAUAUGCAGGACAUUCCUUGACUUUUGAUUGCUUUUCCAUAUUAAUUGACAAAUGAUACUUGAAUAACAUAUUCCAAUGACCCAAGAUAUGGGACUUCCUAGUUGUCAAUUGCGAUGUCCAAAAUUGAAGACCCUGAAACUAGUGCACUGUCCUGGCGGAUUCAGAUCACUACUAACUUCCCAAUUCCAUGAUUAAGAUCACAACUAUGCAAAAUUGAAUCUGGCUGGUCCCAUUGGGCUUCCUCUUUUAAAACCUAAGUUUGAUUCCAGUCCUACUUAUAAAUAAUGUUAAGAGAUUUAAUUUUAAUGAAUAAUAUUUAAAUUAAAUCAUAAUUUUAAUAUAAUAUAAUUUACAUCUAAAUUUAGAUAUAUAUAAUAAAACUUAAGAGUUCAAAUCAAAUUACACUCUUUUAUCUGACCUACUCAACUGUUUAUAAAUUAAUAUAAAUAAUAUUUUUUACCGAUCCCACUUUAUAUAUAAAUUAAUAAUCUACUUAUAGAUCAAAAUUUUAUACACACAUAUAUAUAUGACUCAAUUAGGAAGUUUUAAUAAAAUAUGACUCUAAUGUUACUUGUUUCGUCUUGAAAUUGAUAUCUUAUUGACUUUAUCUCUAAUUUUUCUUAGUGCAUUACAAAGGUCUGGUGUAGUGUUCUCGUAUGGUAAGAGAAAAUUAUGCAAUGUGAUGGUUGCUUGAGUGCAUCUUUGCACGAGACAAGCUCUAGUAUAGAACUAUCAUCUUCAACUUCAUUUUCUUUAUUAUUUCUCAUGUCGUUCUCAAUAAUUUGCUUGUCACUCAACAACUUUGAAGGUGGCUCAUUUUCUCCUUGGUAGUUUAAAAGGUACUCAAUAUCUAUUUUAUCACAAUACUUCAACUAUUUGAUUAGAACAUGUAAUUGUUAAAUUUGUCUAUCAUGUGAGCGUUGAUCCAAAUUUUUUGAAGUCACGUUAUCCAUACACCUAAUUUUACAAUGUUGAAAACAAUUUGCAAUUGUACCAUUUGUUGACCAAGCUGAGAUUGCAAGAUUCAUUAUAUCCAAAACAUUUAUCUUUUUUGGAUUUGAGAUUUCAAUUUCAUAACCCUCUAAAAGAUUUCGAUAAAAUUGAAGAUGAUAAUGCAUCUCGAUAGAAUAAUAAUAAUUUGUAAUUCGAUAAUAUUCGUAUAAUCACAAUACAGAGUACAUGUAUUAAGUUUAAUGUUUUGAGGAAAAAAAAAAGAUAUCUAGAUAAAUUAAUUUUUUAUUAAUUAAUGUAUAAAUUAAUAAAUUAUUAAUUUAUUAAUUCAAUAAUAUCUUAAUUAAUUAAUAAAUUUUCAUGAUUCCAAAGGUAUUAAUUUAUAGAGAUUUUAUUAUUGUAUUUUAAGCAAGUGUUAGAUUCCUUUGUUUAACAUAUAGAUUAAUAAAAGAAGGAAAGCAAAGAUUGGAUAUCAAGCUUAUAUUGACAAUAUUCCUUUUUACUUUCUCAUUGCCAUAAUUGAACUAUAAGCAGCAAGAAUUUUUCAUUUUGGCCCAUAAGGAGCAAGAACUGAAAAAUACAUGUUCUUGUUUAUUGCAAAAUACGAUUUGAAUCAUGCAAGCUAGUAAUGAACAACCACUAGUUUCGGGCCUAAAGAAACCCAGAAUAGGCUAAUCAAAUAUUAUGCAAGAUAAAUAAUCAAUUGUAGUUCCGUCAGUGGAGCUAUUAAUUAUGCCAGCGAUCGCCACAUCACACUGAAUUUUUACUUGUUGAUGUUCCAUAACAGUGUAGGCAAUCUUCCAUAAGAAUCUGCUAGGACCUCUCAAUCUCUCUGAUCUGGUUUCUCCUAAAACAGAAUGUGUUGCUUGGCACCACUGUACAUGUUGAAGCUGCCUUUAUAAAUUAUGAUAGCAGAGGGGAAAAUUACGACAACCGACCCAUAGGCAGGUCUAAUACUGUGUUCAUAGAAAGCAAAAGCACGAAGUAGGUUGACUGUUUUGGUUCCUAUUUGACGUCACAUAUUCAAAUCCAAUCCCUUUCACACAGUUUUUUCUCUGAUCCUUAGCUCACGUUACCCCCUUUUCUCAAGGUUUUUAAGUUCUAACCCUAACAAUACACUAGAAGUGUAGAAAGUUUGUGGUUGACAUGAGUCUCAUAUAAUAAACAAAUUCUACCGUUCAACCCAAAUUGCAAGUUUACAUCGCAAUCUGGUCUUUUGGUCUUUUGUUUUCAAUAGGACAUUUUGUCGUUAGAAAUGAUCUACCGUCCAACCCAAAGUAUAGGUUUACAUUGCAGUCUUGUCCAUUGUUUUCAAUAGGGUAUUUUGUGAUUAGAAAUCAACCGAUAUAAAGAAAAGACAUGUAAAAUACUGUUAUCUAUAUACAGCAAGAAGGAUUACUAUGAGAUAUUUAUAAAAGAGAGAUAGCCGUUGAUUCACUCUACGCUAAUUUUUAUUUAAUAAAUUAAUAAAAUAAUAAAAAUGAAUAUAAAAUAAGAUAAUAAUAAAAGCACAUAAAAAAUAGUAUCUACAGCCUCUUCCUUCAAUCAUCUCUCUCCAUCUGCCAAAAUUUCUUUCUCUGUUUGAGAUGGAUAUCAAGUCCAUCCUUCAUGAACACCACUUGCUCUGUGAUGAAUAUGAUGAAUCACGGGGACUUUGUGAUAUGUGCAAUCAGGAAAUUUGUGGUAUGGCUUAUUGUUGUGAAAGAUGCGAGUUUUCAUUGCAUGAUUCUUGCGUUCAUCAACAGCUACCUCCUCAGAUAAGUGCACAUCCUUGCCAUCCCCAACACAAUCUUUCUCUCGUAGGGUCAAAUCACAUGGAUUACAUAUGUGAUAAAUGUUUCAAUCUUUCUCGAGGCUAUAGAUAUCAUUGCAAAGAGUGUCAUUUUAGCCUUGGGUAUCAAUGUGCUUUUUCAACUAAUGAUGAGAAAAAUAGACUCAAUGGCGAGACAUUUAAAAAAAUUGGUGGUUUUACCCUCUUUAAUUAUAGGAGAGUGAGAAAGUAUGAGUAUAUAUGUAGUUGGUGUGAGAACCAUUUGUCUGGAAUGUCUUAUGCUUGUUUUGACAAUGGUGCUUAUACCUGCUUCCACGAUUCCUGCUUAAUCAAAUUGCCUCCCAUAAUAUUCAAACACUCAUUUCAUCCAUCACACCCUCUUCAAUUAUGCAACAGUCACUUUGAUAAUGGGUUGUGCAAUGCUUGCAACCUACCAAUAUGGGAGUUCAGAAAAGCCUACUGUUGUAGAAAAUGUAAAUUUCACCUUCAUGUUCGUUGUGCUAAACUACGACCCAGUCUCAAGGUUGAAUUACAUGAGCAUGAUCUUACCUUUUUUCGAAUAAAAGCUAAUAGCGCAACCCACCUAUGCAGGGUAUGUGGUUUUAAUUUUGAUGCUAUAGGGGACGAAAGUGCUUUUUAUCGUUGUGUCCAUUGUAAUUUCAAUUACCAUUUCAAAUGUCUUACAAUACCACAUUCUACUUCGCACAAGUAUCAUAGGCAUGAUCUGAUGCUUAUGGAUUCAUUUAUAGAAGAUGUUUCUGAAGAAUAUUAUUGUGAUAUAUGUGAAGAAGAAAGAAAACCCAAGCACAGUGUUUAUUGUUGCAAGAAAUGCAAAUUUAUUGCUCACAUCGAAUGUGCACUCAAUAAGGUAAGGAGACAUUUACUCUCUCUCUGAAGAAAUUUAAUAAAUGUUUUUUUCAUUAGAUAAACUAUUAAUUAUUUGAUCAUAGGUCACAUAUAAUGUGCCCCUUAGAAAAUUUUGAUGCUAAUAUUUUUACUUCCCUAGGUUGUGGAUACGAAACUUGAUCAAAGUUCGACCUCUAGUCUGUUGGAUAGUGAAGCUUCAACAUUGAAGGUGAUGGAAUUGGAUCUUUUAUAUUGAUAUUAUUAUGAUGUUUUCACUUGCCAAUAAUUUGUUUUUUUGAAGUUUACAUCGCUUAAGGUCUUCUAUUCCUUGGAUUUAUAUAUUAUAAAGAUUGUUUAGUAAUAAACACCAUUUACAUUUUUGAAUAAAAUUCAAUGAAAAAAAACUAAAAAAUGUAAAUAAUAUAAGUAAAAAACCUCUACUUAUGUAGCAGUAUUCAAAAUUGAUUUGGAGACGGCUUUAGUCAAAAUAUUGAAUGUUGAAUAAAUUAAAAACACUUACGUGCAUCAUGUUAAUUUAUGAACAUAUAUAUUUGAUUAUUUAAUUAUUGCUUCUAUAUUUUAGUUUUAUCUUAAAUUUUCAUUUCUUGUACUUUUUAAACAAAAAUAAAGAGUAAAUUUUACUAUUAAUCUUGACCUAUUUGUAAUUUUUUGUUUUCAUUCAUCCAUUUUGAAUUUAUUUCAAAUCCAUUUGUAUAUUAACAUGCCAAUAAAAUAUAGAUGGAAUUUGUCACGUAAAUUUCACAUAUUAUGUGAAUUAUGUGAAUGUAGUCACAUGGACGUAACUGUAGUACUUAGAUGGCAAUUCCGUUCCAUAUUUAAUAGUGUAUUGAUGGAUAGAUGAAAUUAAAAUAAUUUCAAAAAGACAUAAAUGGAAAAAUUCGAGUUUGUUUAGUCAUGGAUGAAAAUAAAAUUAUGACAAUGUUAUAAACUAAGGAUGCACUUUACCUAAAAAAUGGAGGAAGAUUAAUAACUUUCUUCACUCAACUUGGUCGUGCAGGUGCAGAUUGAACAUUUUGAUCAUCAACAUCCCUUAAGCUAUAAUGGGGCAAUUGAACAGAAUGAAAGUCUUCUUUGCAUUGCUUGCCGCCAAGAAAUUUUUGAUCAACACUAUGCUUGUGAAGAUUGUAAAUACUACUUACAUGAAACGUGCACUACAUUGUUGUAUGAGGUGUCACACCCUCUUCAUUGCCAGCAUCCUCUCAAGCUUGUCACGGAUAUAGUUGAAUUCACAUGUCAUGGAUGUAGGGAACAUUCUGAUGGGUUUGCUUACAUGUGCCUUCCAUGUGAUUUCCACCUUGAUGUGAAAUGUGCUACCACUCCAAUCCCACCUAAAAAUGAUGGGCAAAAGCUGAAAGAGAUGGAGAAAGUUUCCAAGUUUUGCCCUUUCAACCAAAAUCAUAAGCUAGACUUCUUCAACCGUAGACCCAAUCUUAAAGAUUUGGCUUUGGAAUGCGAUGCUUGCAAGUUACCAAUCUUGGGUCCAGGUUAUACAUGUCGUGAUUGUUUCAAUAUCAAAAUUCAUGAAUCUUGUCUUGCAUUUAUUCGGGAGAUGCAACACACAUUUCAUCCGUUACACCCGCUUCAUCCACAAAUCGGCGAUUGGGAAAAUUGUUCUGCCUGUAGAUUUAAAAUCAUUGAAAGUAUCGGUUAUAGUUGUCGGCAGUGUGAUUUCCACCUUCAUCUUCAUUGUGCUAAUUCCCUGAAGCUGGCCUUAAAAGUUAAGUCUCACAUGCAUAAUCUUUAUUAUUUUGGACCAAAUUAUGAGAAAUCUUACCAAUUAUGUAACAAAUGCAAAAGUUACAUUGGUAAGGAACCUUUCUACUAUUGCGUGGAGUGCAAUAUGAAUUUGCACUUAAAAUGUGUUCCCAUACCAUGUUCAAUUAAAUCCAAAUGUCACAUGCAUCGUUUGACUCUUAAAGAUCAUUUUGUGGAAGAUGAUUCUGGAGAAUACUAUUGCGACAUCUGCGAAGAAGAAAGGAACUCAAAAAAUCAUUGCUAUUAUUGUGAAGAGUGUGCUGGACAAUUUGUUGCUCACAUCGAGUGCGCGCUUCUUAUAGUAAGUUUAUCACUAUCAUUUUCUCUGUAGAAUUUUUCUAUAUCAUAUUAUUGAAUUUUCUAAAGGAAAAUAAGAAUCUAAAUUACACAUCACAUGAUCGUAUCCACCAUCUCUUUGAUUGAUUGGACUUUAUUAAUGGUUAAAGUACCUCAUAGGUCCAUAUACUAUAGAUUUUUCGUUCAACUAAUCUUUUUUCCCAAAAUUGGUUAAUUUAAUCUCUGUACUUUGAGAUUUUAUGUAAUGGAGUCAUUUUACUUAACUUCAUCCAAAUUAACCAUUAGUGGUACUGGUGACGCACUGACAUGUCAGAUAAAAAAAAAUUGACCAUGUGGCAUUUUUUUCUUUCCUCCUUUUUCUUUGCUCAUAUGUUCAAAACUACAUUGUUUUAGAGUACUAUUUAAAGCGGAUUUAGUUUUUUAUUUUUCAUUUUCCUUUUUAUCCUUCUCUUUAGCUUUCUUCUCUCCCUAGAUUUCGACCCCUAAAUGCAAAUUCUGGCUAUCGAUCACUAGUAAUAUGAAAAUCUAAUAAAAAAUAAAAAAAUUAGUUUUUUGGCCUUAUUUCCCAUAAUUAGGAUAGCUUUUUCAAAAUCUAUCUCGAUUUUUCUAGAUCUAAAAUCAUAAACUUGUAAAAAAGAAGCUUGUUUCUUUCCAUUGCUGUGUCCUCAACUUGAUGUUAAUGAUCAAGGGUUGUGUUUUUCAUGUUGUAGGAUUUUGAAUUCGGAGAUGGAAAUUUUCAUGAAUUUUCCAUCUUGAAAGAUGCUGGCUCACCUAUUGAGAGUUCCUCUAUGGAUAAGUUGCUUUCCCAACCCCAUGCUGAAGUUUACUUGAACCAAAACAGAAUGGUAGUUAAGUCCUAUAUAAGUUAUUUUAAAGAUCUCAUCUUUUAUGCGAAAAUGAAUUUUAUUUUACGAAUAGUUGAAUGAAAGAAAAGUUUCACGAUUUUGUGGGUGCCAUUGUCGUUGCAGAAGUAUUGGGUGAAUGAGAAGUUAAACAAAUACUGCUUCAUGUUGUUUGCAAGAGAUCUUUCAAUCAGUUGGGUAGAAGAGCACCGUUAUUGGCGUUGGUCAUACCAAAAAGAAACAAACAGGUUAGCGUAGAUUUAUUAUCCAUUGAGAAUCCUUACUUCAUAGUUCUAGCUUGACAGCUUUCUUAAUCCACAAACUUUUGAUUUUGUAGCGAUGUGUUGAUUGAUGUUGUCGAACUUCUAAAGGUGUGUUGGCUAGAAAUGAAUGUGAAAUUCAAUGUAAAAAAGCUCUCACUGGGAACUUUGUAUGGAGUUAUGUUUGUGUUUAAGUUGACAGAUGAAGCAUAUGGAUGGGGAUGUCCAGUGAACUUUGGAUUCACUCUUCCAAAUGGGGACAAGGUUGAACGCAAGGAAAAUUUGAUGACCAAGCCGAGAGGAGUAUGGAUAGAAAUCCCUGUCGGAGAAUUUACAACUUCAUCCGAAAUUGUUGGAGAAUUACAUAUUUGCUGUCACCAAUAUGAUGAAUUGAAUUGGAAAGGAGGACUUAUUGUUAAAGGAGUUGCUAUUCUACCAAAGAAUUAAGUUAUAAAUUAGUAUUUUGUCAUAAUAAAUCUGAAAGUACUGUAGUUUUUUUGUUUGUUCAUAAUCUUGCAAAUUCUAAUAUGACAUGAACUUGAAAGGAACCAACUCAUCCAAUAAUCACCUCAACACUUGAACCAGUUUUCCGGUUCUCAUUAUACAAUAUAGGUUCCAUGCUAAAUGCAACAAACAAGCUCAUUGAUUUUUUUGAUAUUUUUUAUUAGAUUUUUUGACCACCAGUGACUAGUGGUUGGCUGUCGAAAUCUGGGUUUGGGGAUCAUAAUCUAGAAUAAAUUAUUGGAUAGAGAGCGAAAAAGGAAAGAAGGAACAAUGAAAAAAAAAACUAAAUGUCCUUUAAAUAGUAGGCUUAAAAUAACUAGUUUUGGACAAAUAAGAGAAAAAAGAAAAAGAAAAACCAUGUGAUCAAUUUUAUUUUUUUAGUUGAACAUGUCAACGUUAGCAUUUUUUGACAUGUCAGCUCGUCGUUAGCACCACUAAUAAUUAAUUUGGAUGGAGUUAGAUAGAGAGAAUCAAUAGUACAAAAUCUAGGUAAGAGGGACUAAAUUAAUCAGUUUUGGAUAGACAGACUAAAUUGAUAAAAAAAAAAAUCUUUAAUAUAGGUAUCUAUGAGGUACUUUGACCAUUAAUGAAUUCCAAUCAACCAAAGAGGUGAUGGAUAUGAUCAUGUAAUGUGUAUGUGUAAUUGAGAUUCUUAUUUUCCUUCAAAAAAAUUCAAUAAUGUAGUAUAAAAGAAAUCUAUAAAGAGAAAAAAUAAUUGUUCACGCCUCAACAUUUCCUGAAACCUUUUCAGCACUUUGAAGCUUUGUCCAUUAAUUAAUCGCCUUGUUUCAAGCAUGUUCUCAUAGUAACAAAAGUCUUUACACUGUAUAGAACCUUUUGUUUCUUUUUGACCUCCUGUAAUCUUGAGCAAGGCUGAUUGUGUAUAUAGUGGAGCAUAGUUGUGUACAUAGGGAGAUGCAUGCUUAAGCUACAGGGAUGGUUUUUGUUCACUUGCCUUUUUGUAUAUUGAUUUUGCUUAAGGCAUAAAGGUAUAGAAUUUCAAAAAAAAGAUAUAAAAUUGUGGUAUUAGCAUCUUGAUAGCCACAUUUGGAAUAAAAAGGUAGCAAUUAAAAGAAGCAUUUUAUCCUUAAUGAUGAGCAAGCUUUUUUUAGCCUUUUUCAUUUUUAUAUUCUCUCAAUAAUUUCCUUCUUUAAAUAAAUAAAAACAAUGUUGACAGGGCAUGAAGCACAUGCCAUUUUCUUGUUUUUGGUAUAAAGGCCUGAGGGAAUCUUUGUUUAGGUUUUGUAUUUAAACACACUCUCUCAUCAAGAGGCUAGUAGUUGAUCAUCUCUCUUUCUUCAUCUACCUAAAUUUCUUUCUUUGUUUGUUUGAGAAAACAAAGUAGAGACUAUUCUGCUAUGGGGAUAUUCUAUACUUGUUUUCGAUAGAAAUUUAGUACCUCCUCAAGUCCUCAACUGUCUUGGUGAUGCAAAAAGGGGGUUGUAGCUAGAAAUAAACCACAAAAAAUAUGCAAGCAAGGCUGUUGAUGUGAAUGAUUUAGCUUGGUUUGGGUUAUACAAGGCGUAACGAUUCUUUGAACGUCAAAUACACUUUUCUAUAUUUAAGCUUAUUCUUCAUAAUGUGUAGGAUUGUAGGGCAUUUUAUUCAAUUAUAUUUUGGUUAGAUUGUAGAGAAAAGAAAGCUAGAGAAAAAGACAACGGAGAGAAACAUUUUUUGACAAUGAUUCAAAAUUUAAUUUCAUUAAUAAGUUAAAGAAUUAUAGCAAACUGUCAAAAAGGUCAAAAAAAACUUUUUUCUGCUUCUUUUAUUCUCUCUUGGCUAGAAGAGAUGUGCAUUCUUGAACCAGUGAUUUGCAAAUAAGUGACUACUUUUCCUGUAUACCUUUGAGUUGAAUGACCAUGUACUUAUCAAUUAUGUAUAUUUCAACAAAUUUAUGUUAAUAUUCAAGUUUCUAAUAUUUGAACGAGUGUAUAUUUGAUGCAUUAAUAGUGUCUAUAAGAUACAUUGUCAGUGCAUUAAAUAUGAAUCCUAUUUAAAUAGAUUAAGAGUACAUAGUUAAGAAUUGCAGAGAGCUUAAUUUGAGAUAAUAGCUUUUUGUAUGAAAAAAGAAAAAGAAGAUUUGGCUUUUUUUUUUUAUUUGUUUUUGUUAAUUUUAUUAUGUCAGCUUGAUUUUAUGUCAACAACCUUGUCAAUUCAUUAUGGUUAGUAAUCAACAGUUUUAAUAACAAUGCUUCCUAACAUAAAGUUUAAAGGGGAAAAUAAGAGAUUGCAAACUCAAAACCUUGAUGUCUUUUAGGCUUUUCUUGUUUCUUUGUCCUUUUGUAUUUGUUGUUUUAGUUAUAAAAUUGUGGAAGUAGCAUCUUGAUUGCCACAUUUUCGAUAAAAAAGUACCAAUUUAAAAAAACAUUUUAUCUUUAAUGAUAAGUAAGUUUUCUUUGACUUUUUUCUUUUUCUUGAAAGACAAAGACAAUAGUAUUCCAUAAAAAAGGAUAUGUGUUAAUUAAAUUAUUUGAAGGCAAGAAAUUAAGAUUAACAUCAAUAUUCGCUUCCAAAUUCUCACUAUUAUUUCUUUCUUUAAAUAAAGAAAAAAAUAAUAUUGUUUUUGAUCAUUCAUUUGAUUAAUUAAUCUGAAAUUGUCGUUGUAUUAGUAAAAUGAGUCGUAAUCACAAUAUGCAUGCGAUGUGUUUUCAUUGUACAAGUAAUUAUUGUAUAACUAAAGCAAAAAGAAAGUAAUUGCUACAUAACAUUAUUUUACUUAAAGGGAAACAUUUAAUUAAAAAAAAGUAAUCCCAAACUUAAAACAUUUUUUAAACAAAACGCUCCCCUUCUUAAACUAAAGUGAGAAUCAAUUAAGUAUGGUACAGCUUAUAGAUACAUUUAUGCCACCAGUAAUGCUUUGUUUCAGAAUUAUCUUUCCUUUUUAGAAACAAUAAAGAUGAAUUAUAUAUUAAAAAAGAGAGGGAUAAGAGUAUUCCUUUACAACCAGACAAAAAAGACCCACGACUACAUCAAAAACAGCCAAUGGGGCUUAAAAAUUUGGGUAGACCAGUACUUACCUUAGGUCCUGCCAAGUAGUAUUAAAAAGAAAAAAUUACAAAAGGUAAGAAAACCAUAACAAAAGGACCUGUACAUAAUCUUUUCCUAGAAGAAAGAUCCAAAAAAGGGUUCAAUUAAUAUCCCUUAAAAAAAAAAAAGCAGUAUAAACGAAGAAACAUCAAUGGUUCCCAUGAAAGUAGCAGCGAGCAUUAUGUUGCACAACAAAAGUAAAUAAAGCAGGGGACAGAACACCUCACACUAGGUUAAUAUUCUUUUCCGGGGCUAGCAUGCUGUCGUUGAUCCGAAACAAAUCUGAUAUCAAUCACUUUUUGUCUUUCUUAAUAUCAAUCACUUUUACAUAGAAUUUAAUUUUAAUUUUACAUUUGAAUUGUUGUGCUAGGUUAUGGUCGUAGAGGGGUCAACUUGAUGUAAGUUAAGCAACUUGGAUUUACGGCAUAAAACUCAACUAAAUUCCAACAAAGAUUAGUUCCUAACCCAUAUAGUAAAUUUGCAUAUCACCCACAUUAUAAACUAAUCAAUUACUGAAAACAUGAAAUUACCACUAGUACGUGCUUGCUAAAUCUCAUAAAUAAAUCAUCUUAAUAAGCAAUAAUUAUGUGUGCGAGGGCUAAUUAUUGUAGUUAACAUUCCAUGAAUUUUACCUCAAAAUUUGUGUUAAUAUUCUAGGUUGUGAUCAAGUCAUAUGUUCAAGUUUCUAACAUUUAAAUAGACUAGGAGUACUUCAUGAAUGAAGGGGUUUAAUUUGAAGUAAUAGCUUCAAGUAUGGAAUAAGAAAAACAAAGAUUAUGCUGUUUUUUUUUCCUUUUUUUUAAUAUUUUCUUGUCUUAGGUUGAUUUUAUGUCAACACUCUUAUUCACUAUUUGGUAAAUUUGGACACGUGUAUUUCUGCAGUAAUGUUUGUGAAAUGGUUUGGACAGCUAUUUAUUUCAGAUGUGCUGAGAGGUAGUUUAAUUAUUUUUGUUGACUGAGUUGUAUUUUCAAAGGUUGGGCGAACUUGUUAAAGAGUCCAACUGGACCUAUUUAUCCCCAAAAUUGAGCUUAAUUUUGGCAUAUGGCAUGUGGCAUGCCGCAUUGCCAAAGCUCUUCAAGGAAGAGCACAAGCAAAACCAGAGGCAAUGCGACGAGUAAAGGCCAGAUAAAUAAGAAGGCUAACCAUAAUUUAACCAAAAACAAAAAUGAAAAAAGAAAGAAAGAAAGAUAGUACACAUCAUGUCAUCACUCAUCAAUUAGACAUCCCAUCGUCACCAACCCAGGGUCCUUGGUCAACUUCAUCCACAUACGUUGUCCAGUAAAAAUCACUCAAGUGUCUCGCAUUGCUCGAAAAGGACAAAAAGACUGCCACGUGCUACCUUACGGGCAAUUGCUACUAGAGUUCUCCACCGCCCGCUUGGUGUCGCCUGUACAGCCACAACCACAGCCACCACCAUUUGCAUUUCUCCUGAUUCAGAAUUCUUAUCACAUUACUACUGUUGGAAAAGUGUUUGACAAACAACUUUCACCUGGUAAGUUGGACUCACUAUAACCUUUAUUAUGAAAUAUUUUAUACGCAUCGCUUUUGGAUUACAAAGCAUUACAAGGACGAAUUAUAAAGCAUUUUAAUUCUCAUGGUUUUUUUUUUUUUAAAGAGUGAUUUUGGGUUCAACUUUAAGAAAUUGUCUGCCACUUGUUCAUUGUUACAAAACAGGGUCGGAAGAGAAGCAGCUUCAACAUCAUCCACUUGUUCAGUCAACCAAUAAUUAGCUGCUGUUUUCAUUAACCAAUUUACAUUUGAGAAACAACAAAAACAAUGGCAAAAGCACUUCUUUCCAUGAUCCUGGAGCAGCAGUUGGGUGGUUCGUUCAUUCCUCAAGAGAUAAAGCAUCAUGUCGGAUUGGCUGUAGGUCUUGAAGAAGAAAUCCAAAAACUCACCAGCAACUUUGACGCCAUUCAAGCUGUGCUUGAAGAUGCGAAAGGAUAAACCAAACAGGGCAUGCCUAACCCAAGGCGCGGAGGAUAAGGUAUACCGAUGUGGAUGCGGCCCAUAUCCUAAGCUGUUUCCCCACAGACCCCCCAACAGUGUCCCAUAACUCUAAUCCUACAUCCACCACGGAAGAAUAACAAGACUCCCAAGGAGCGGAGGACGGCAAUGGAGGCAGCUGGCUCCGAUUCCGAUGGCAGAGAAUUCAGGAACCCACAGGAAAUGUGGAGGGAGCAAAUUGGAGAUGCAGAUGAAGGAGAUAACCAUAAGAAGACUCAGUGGUACAGUGAAGGCGUUGCCUACUGGGAAGUAAGUCUUUCUUAACUCUGGUUCUUACAUUUGUAUGUGGGUACCAUUAGCUAACUCAUAGUAUAGUUAUUGGAUUCUUUGGUUGUGCUAAGAGAAGGGUGUGGAGGCAUCGGUAGAUGGGGUGUUGGGUGGAUUUGGGCAAGUAAAUGAGGCAGAUAUUAAGGGUAGUGAGGUUUUUCUCAAUACCCUUUUGCAUGAAAGAUUCGAUGGCGGUGGAAGAAAUCACCAUCUUGUUGCUCUUGGUACUUCUCUUUCACUCUCUGUGUCCUCAACUUUAUAUUGUUUUUAUGAAGUUAUAUACCCAUAUAUGUUCUGUUGAGGUAGUUUGGUUUAUGUUAUUAUUAUUAUUUUUUUUACACUAAAAAUCAACCUUAGGUUAUUAUGCGCCAUUAAAUGUGGAAGUGCAAAGUUGGUGAUGGGAUCCUACUUCAUUAGAAUGUAGCAUUGGUGGAAAACCUAAUUAACUAUAAAUUAAACAAAAAACAUAGUGGUGACAGCAGAAAGGGAUGUUGUGAUAGAUGAAAUUUUGAGUUAAAUAUCCGCAAUUAGUGCUUGAAACCGGAAACCAAUAUAACUUGAUAACACAACCAUGAAAAGUUUAUGUCCCAUAAUCCCACCCCAUAAAAGAAAAUAAAUAAAUAAAGAAGAGAAAGGCAUGGAAAUUUGCAUGAAUAUGCAUUUUCUGAAUUAUUUUGCAUGAUAUCUUCACCAAAAAUCAGUCUUAGUAGUGCAAGAAGCAUGUCAUGCAUUAGAGGUGUUGCUUUGAUUUAGAAUGCCAGCGUUUUAGGUGUUGCUCUUAUUUAGAAUGGUAUAAUGCAAUUGAGAAUUGGGUUUACUACAUGCUAUUUUGCUUAAUAAAAAACCAUCUUUAAGCAAUAUUCUUUUUUAAAUUUGGGAAGAAGCUUGCUGGGAGUUCUCUCUGUCUCUUAAGGGUUGUGUGCUUGUGGGGGGUGGGGGAUGGGGCACCCCUGGACCCAAUUUGAGGCUGUUGUGAGUGCUCAGAAUAAAGGAAAGAAAUUUCUGUGUUUAAGAUUGAAAAAUUACUUUCACAUUUCAUCAGCAGCGAAGAUGCUCUAUCUUGCUAAUAUUCUGGAACUUGUUAUCUUUUGAAAGGCAAAAAUUAGAUAUGUCUUCAGUAUGUUUUAUUACUAGGAGAUUGAUUCUUCGACAUGAUUAGGAUCUAUAAUUGCCUAUAUAUGAAGUUGGUCUUAAUACUUGUGAGUUGGUGGACUAUACUGGGGCAAUUGGUGGACUAUACUGGGGCAAUUGACUGAAAUCUUGCGAAGGGGAAUUGUAGGGGAAAUUAUUUAGGAAACUAAGCAGUUGGAGUUUGGCUUUAAUAUAAAGAUAUUUAGGUAACUAAGCAGUAAUGGUUUGGCUUUAAUAUGAAGAUAAUUAAGUGAUUUCCACAAGUUUUAUUUUAAGUAUUAUGAUAUAAGAUGCACUUAAGCACUUGGCUUUAUGAUUUGUGCAUGUAUCCCCUGCUAAAAGAGCUGGGUUUAAAUUACCCUCCCCUAAUAAAAUAAAAUAAAACAUGAAAAUUGAUGGUUGUGCCCUCAAACUUUUGCCUUCAUAUGGUUUAUGUUGGUGGAAUUAAAACAAACUCUUUUGAUGAUCUUAGUGCAGAAGAAUCUGGUACAUUUUAGGGCUUAGCAUACUAAAUUAAACUAUGUCAUAAUUCUCAAAACACUGCAAUGCUGACCUUUAUUUCAAGUCCAUACAUUGAAGCACUAGAAAUACCUGCAAAUGGUUCUAAAGCAUACUUAAAAUAUUGCUGCAGUACUGAUCUGUUUGGUAUUUCAUUUUUCUUGAUGUUUUUAAUUCUAAUUGAAAAUCAUAAAUCUAGUUGACAUUCUGAGCUCUUAGUUUCUAUGUUAAUUUAACAUACUGCAGAUUGUGGUUCUGGCAUAGGGAGAAUAACCAAGAAUCUUCUCAUAAGAUAUUUUAACGAGGUAAGGUCAUUUUUCUCUUUCUAUUAGCAUAUUUUUAAUAUUUCUGACAUUUACCAUCUUUGCAGUUAAUUGAUAACAUGGUUCAUAGUGCAUAAUUCUUACUACCUAAAGAAUUUCUCUGUUGUAUUUGAAUGAAAAGCAAAAUUGGGUAGUGCCUUUUAAAAAAUUCAUGCAGGACAUGAGGAGGGUACCCGUUAAUUUCAAGGUACCUAAACCUUAACCCUAUAAAAAAUCAAAUAUCUAAACUCUAUUAAUUACCUGAAUAAUUUUGAAAGUUACUACCCUAACCUUAACCUUAACCUUAAUACAUUCCCACUACCCUAUAAUUACCCUAACUCGUUUAAAAACCCGAUUAGAUAAAAAAUUUAUUAAAAUGUUCUUCAUUGGUACCCAAUUACUCAAACCCGAACCUGUAUUCAUAUACAAUAAUAUUUCUUCUACAUAGUACAUAUAAUUAACUACUAAUUAAAUUAAUAAAAACACAAAUAAUAAAAUUUAAAUUUAAAUAAUCAAAAACUAUAAAUUGUUUAUAAAUGAACAUAAUAUAUAAUAUAAAUCAAUAUUAUGUUAUUGUUUAAUAGUUAUUAACUUAUAUAAUAGUAAUGAUAUUCUUUAUAAAUGAAUAUAAUAAAUAAUAUAAAGUAUAUGUAUUAAAAGAUAUUACAAGUUAUAUACUAUAAAGUGUGUAUAUAUAUAUUAUAAUUAAUAAUUUUAUAAGUUAUAAUUUUUAUAAUGUUAACAAAAUAUAAAAAGUAAAUACAUUUAUUUUUAAAGUAUAUAUAUAUAUAUAUUAAAAGUAUUUUAGUGUAUAUAUAUAAUAGUGAUUAUAUUCUUUAUAAAUGAAUUCAAUAUAUAUAAAGUAUAGAUAUUAAAGACAUUACAAGUUAAUUAAUAAUCAUAGUUUCAUUAAUUAAUUUAAUUAAUUAUAUGAGUUUGUCCUUUACUACAAGAAAUUAAAAAAAAUAGUUAAGUUUCAAAACUAUUCUAAUCUCACAACUUCUUUUUAGAUAAUUAAGUUUAUAUAUAUCAAAGUAUCUAUAUUAUAAUUAAUAAUUUGUAAGUUAUAAUUUUUGUAAUGUUAACACAAAAUAGAAAGUAAAUAUGGUUAUAUUUAAAGUGUGUAUAUAUAUACACACACACACUAAAAGUGUUUUAUUAUAUGUAUAAUAAUAAUUAUAUUUUUUAUAAAUGAAUCCAAUAUAUAUAAAGUAAAUAUAUUAAAAGAAAUUACAAGGUAAUUAAUAAUCAUAGUUUUAUGAAUUAAUUUAAUUAAUUAUAUGAGUUUAUCCUUAAUUAUAUGAAAUUAAAAAAAAUAACUAGGUUUCAAAACUAUUCUAAUCUCACAACUUCUCUUAAGCUUUGCAUAUUAUAAGUUUAUAUAAACAAAAGUGUAUAUAUUAUAAUUAAUAAUUUUAUAUGUUAUAAUUUUUUUUAAUUUUAAUACAAAAUAGAAAGUAAAUAUAUUUAUAUUUAAAGUAUAUAUAUACUAAAAGUAUUAGUAUAUAUAUAAUACAGUAAUUAUAUUUCUUAUAAAUGAACUCAAUAUAUAUAAUGUAUAUAUUAAAAAACAUUUCAAGUUAAUUAAUAAUUAUAGUUUAAUAAAUUAAUUUAAUUAACUAUAUAGUUUUGUCUUUAAUUAUAUGAAAUUAAAAAAAAUAGUUAGAUUCCAAAACUAUUCUAAUCUCAAAGACUCUCUUUAAGUAUAUAUAUUAUGAGUUAUAAUUUUUGUAAUAUUAAUACAAAGUAAAAAGUAACUAUAUUUAUAUUAGAAGUAUAUAUAUAAUAGUAAUUAUAUUCUUUUGUAAUAUGAUAUGAUAUUCAUAUUAUUUAAACAUAAUUAAUAAUCUAAUAAUUUUUUAAUUGAAAUAUUUUAAUGUAAUCACAUUAAUAAUUUGAGUAACCAGACUUUUUAAUAUAUUUGUCAGCUUUUAAUAAAUAUAUUAAUGUUGAUUAUUUUUAAUUUAAUCAUUUAAAUAACAACAAAAUAUAUAUAAACAGGUAUUGGGAUCGAGUUCGAGGUGGGUACCCGUGUAACUUGAAUAGUAACAUAAUCGGGUUCAGGUAGCGGGUACCCAAGAGGUACUACCCCGAACCUGAUAUGGGUAGUGAAAUCACUAUCCGAACCCGUCCUAAACUUGAUUAUAGGGUAUCUUAAUCCGAUAUAACCNUAUAUAACAGUAAUUAUAUUUCUUAUAAAUGAACUCAAUAUAUAUAAUGUAUAAAUAUUUAAAAACAUUCCAAGUUAAUUAAUAAUUAUAGUUUUAUGAAUUAAUUUAAUUAACAAUAUUGGUUUGUUUUUAAUUAUAUGAAAUUAAAAAAAAUAAGUUGACAAACUACUUUAAUCUCACAAUCUCCUUUUAGGUAUAUAUAUUAUUAUGAGGUUAUAAUUUUUGUAAUGUUAACAUAAAAUUGAAAGUAAAUAUGUUUAUAUUUGAAGUAUAUAUAUAAUAGUAAUUAUAUUCUUUUUAAUAUGAUAUGAUAUUCAUAUUGUUUAAACAUAAUUAAUAAUCUAAUAAUUUUUAAUUUAAAUAUAUUAAUAACAUCACAUUAAUAAUUUGACUAACCAUAUUUUUAAUAUAUUUGUCAGCUUUUAAUAAAUAUAUUAAUGUUGAUUUUUUUAAUUUAAUCAUUUAAAUAACAACAAAAUAUAUAUAAACAGGUAUUGGGAUCGAGUUCGAGGUGGGUACCCGUGUAACUUGAAUAGUAACAUAAUCGGGUUCAGGUAGCGGGUACCCAAGAGGUACUACCCCGAACCUGAUAUGGGUAGUGAAAUCACUAUCCGAACCCGUCCUAAACUUGAUUAUAGGGUAUCUUAAUCCGAUAUAACCGGGUUGGAUACCUGUGGGUAUCUUAUAAUAGGGUAUGCAUUGCCAUCCCUACACAUUAAUAUGUAAUUCCAAUACAGUGAACAUGAUGUGGAACAUGGUGGACUUUUUCUUUUUCCUCUCUUUUUCUUUCAUCGAAUGAUAUGAAUCAGUGACAUAGUAUUAGUUGGAGCUACUAUCUUAAUAAAGCUGCAUAGUACUUUGUGAUAGCUAUGCUUUUGGACCCCUCUUCCCUUUACCAUUCUCCAGGUUGAUCUACUUGAGCCAGUUUCGCAUUUCUUAGAUGCUGCCCGUGAAAGUUUGUCUCAGGAAUAUUUUGUAGCCUCUGAUGCGCACAAAGCAAAUAAUUCUACUGUGUCUCCCUUCAGGUCAUGUACUUCAAGACUACAUUCACACAUGGAUACAUGCUUCUUGAUGUCUUGAAGUAUUCAUAACUAUGGUUAAGUCCAUGUAAGCUAUGUAUUUCCAACUUUUCACGUUUCCCUAUAUUGCGGAUGUAGCCAUGUAAUUUGCACCUCAAGCAGGCAUGUUGUUUGAGUACAAUCCUGGGAAAAACUUACAGAAGUUAAGGUAAACAUGUUAAAUAUGGGUUUGCAUCUGGAACUCACAUUUGAAUCUGGGCAACAUAGUCUGUACUCUGUAGGCGGCUGGAUUCAAGUAAAUUUUUGCAAACAAUUAUUUACUCUUUUGUGUGUGUUGGGGUGGGGGGGGUAGGGGACAGCAUAUGGGCUAGUGAAUGAGCCCUUUAAGUUGGUGAUAUAUGUGCUUGUCUUCUUCUGAUGCUUCUGGCUGUUAAAUUUUACUUUAUAAAACAGAAAUUUGACGACCAUUUUUUUUUUGUCUUUUGCUUUUUCAGGAGUUCACCCCUGAUGCUGGAAGGUACAAUGUUAUUUGGAUUCAGUGGUGCAUUGGUCAUCUCACAGAUGAUGACUUUGUCUCAUUUUUUAAGAGAGCAAAGGUGAAUAAAUCUUCUUCUUGAGACAGAACUUACUUUUUAUUUGACAUGUUGUGCUGUGUGGAAGUGCAUGGAAAGAUCAAAAUUAUGUGUUGAAAUUUUCUUGCCUGCUGUCUACUAUACAUUCGAAGUGCCUUGUUCUGAUUUUUGAAUUAUGAACUGUCAGAUCAUUGCAAUGGUAUCUCAAAUUUUCCUUUUCCAAAUUUAUUGCUUCUAGCUUUCUCUCUUGUAACUUCUUUUAAACCUUCUCACAGCUAUAGGAAUUAAGGUUGUCUAGCGAACAUAACAUAGCAAACACCGGAAGGAUGAUAUCGUCAAACUCUUUUUUCUUUUUGUCCUUUCUUUUUGCAAUGUGUCGUGUUGUUCAUUCUAUUCUUCUUCCUGCUAGGUAACUAGCGGAUUUGAUGGGUUAGUUUGGAGUGUUUGGGCCCAUCCCUAGCACCACAGAAACAAGGCUGGAUAAUACUUUAUAAUUCAUACAGCUAUUUUGCUAUCAUCCGUUUUCUCACCUUACCAAAGCUUGUGACCAAAAUUUUGUUGUGCCUUGUGCAUUGAAAUAAGUUUUAAGAAAUGAUGGUAGUUUGACUUUUGUCCUUUAAGUUUGUAAAUGGUGGGAAAUAAAAUUAAAUCCAGAAAGUGCCAUAUUCAUUUCAUGCCACCUUGAGUCCCUACUCUCCUGCUUCCCUUGCUGCAACCUUUUCUUUUUUUCCAGGUACUGUUGAGCAUAACUUUUUGCUCUGCCUUCAAUGUAUUUUCAUCAAAAUUAAGCAAAACAUAUUAAUAAUAAAAAGCUCCAACAUGGAAAUUCUUGGGCAUGUGUAUGUGUAUGUAAUUUGGAGGCCUGAUCUCUAAGUUGUGUCCUGGAAAGACCCUUGUUGAAAUUUAUUAUUCUUGCAUAUAUGAUUUAAAAGAUUUUAAUUUGUUCAAGUUUUGUUUAAGGCAUUCCUCAAACUUUCUUAUGUUUUGGUAUUCUGUGGUAAAUUUUCAUAAAGUUGUGUUUUUCUUUUUUGAAAUGCCGCAUGUCAUCUCACGUAUGAGAAGACAUAAAGUUGCUUUUUUGAGCUGAUAUUACUUUUUAACUUUGUCUUAUUAUGUAAUUAUCUGCCCUCUACAACUUUGAAGUAACAUCAUAAUUAAUAAUAAUUAAAAGAUAAAUGGAUAAAGGAAUUUUUAAGCUCCAUUUUCUCGUUCCAUUGCUUGAUACCAAGGGAAGCAGCAAGUUUUUGUUUUAUGCAUUCCUGAAACUUUCUUAUUUUUUGGUAUCCUGCUGCAAAAUUUUCAUAAAGUUGCUUUCUAGAGCUGAUAUUACUGUUUAACUUUGUUUUAUUAUGUAUUCAUCUGCCCGCUACUGCUUUGAAGUAUACUAGUUAAUGUCUUAAAUGUUUAAUUAAGGAUAAAUGGGUAAAGGAAUAUUUAAUCUCCAUUGUCUUGUUUCAUUGCUUGAUACCAAGGGAAACAGCCAAAAAGUGUUGAAACUUAUAAUUCGCAGGUUCAGGGAUGAGUUUCAUCUACUCAAAUGGGUAUGGGGUAUAAUUUUAUUAUGCUACCAAUUUGGGACACCUUUUGGUAACACUGUCUAUGUACAACUUUCUUCAGUGAAAAUUCAUGAAGGAAAGUUGACCUAGUGAUGUAGUGCGGAUGUAGAAACAAUAACAAGAAGUCAACUGCUCAUUAGUCUCUUUCAAACCAACCCUAGGGAAAGGUCGUUGAAAGCUGACGUGUACUCCUCAAUGGACAUACUAUUUUGCUUGAGUGAAUGAAAUUUCUCAUUCAACUCCAUUUAAUCAGCAGGCAAAAAUUGCCUUCUCAUCUUCAUUUUCAUGUGUUCCCAAGUGUUGAUUUUUGGCUUGCCUUGAUGUGCUUGCCGCUCUUCAACUCUCUUCUACCAUUGAAGUGCAGCCCCUUCAACUUAAGCUUCACAAACAGCACCUUUCUUUGUUCUGCCAUUGGUUUCUACUAAAAAUAAUUUUCGAAACUAUCUUUCUGAUCUGAAUAAUCUUUUGCAUGCUUCAUUUUCCGGAAGUCAUCUACCUUAAUUCUAACUCCACCACCAUUCAAGUCUAGGCAUGUAACAAUCAGCCUUCCAAUCUACCACAAACAGCAUUAUUUGCUGGUCGAGCAUUAUGAAAGGGGUUUUCAUCCUCUCCAUAUUCAAUUUCAUCCACAAGACCACCUACCGGUAAACCGAAAGGGUCUGUAUUGCCUUGUGGAUUCUCCAUACAGGCUCCCAUUGGUUCCUGUCACUUUAAAUCUUGCACAGCCUGCAACAAAUCUUCAAUCAUACCCUUCAACUCAGCCAGUUCUGUUUGCUGGUCUUGAUUUCUUUUCCACAUCCGCUAACAAGUCCUCUACCACGAUUAGCCAUGGUUUAUAAGCUAAAAUCCUAGUUCAACUUUAAGAUCUCUUCAUCUGAUACCACUUUGAUGUAGUAUGGAAGUAGAAACAGCAAAAACAAAAGAAAAACAAUGACGAAAACCAGAACAAAGGCUAAAAUUGAUCUUAAGAUCAAAGUAGGAACAAGUUACAGCAGCUUUUAAUUGUAGCCCUUCGAUACAAACAACCCCAUCUAAUCUUAGCCAUUCAAACUAAUUAAAAAUGAUCACAUGCUAAUCACGACACAUGACUAGAUAGAAAACAUAAUUACUAACUUUUAACUAAAGUAAAACAUAAUAAGAUAACCAAUUGGAGAUAAAUUUAAGAAUGCUCUUGCAUAGCCUAGCCCAACAAUUAAACUUGCCUAAGGCUUGACUUAACCUAGUACUCAAGUCUCAUAAUUUGCUUGCAUUCAACUCACAAAAUACUUGGAUUCGAUCAGUUUAUUGUUGAGUUAUUCUUGAGCUCUAGUGACCAAUGGAGUCUAGUUCAAGUGUUUAUAUUACUCAGUCAAGAUAGUUCAAGAGUGUAAUCAACUUUUAAUUUUUUGAUAUAUUUUAAAAUUUCAUGUAUGUAAUACUCGUAUAAAACUAAAUAAUACAAAGCUCAAUCAAGCCAGCUUGGAGGUCUCAGACAUAUGUACCCUCCCAAAAAAUGUUCAAGUUGAGCUUCAGGUCUUAGUUUUGUAAUUGAGUCGUGUCAUGUUCAAGCUUGUCAUUUUGUCAACUUGAUUUGGGUCAGUUAUGCAUCUAGACUUUAACCAACUCAAACUGACUAAAAAGGUUACUGAAUCAAUAGUUGAGACAGGGAGAAUUCAAAAACAAAGUAAUCUGGAAUUCUAAAUAUCCAAACUUAACAACCUAAACACCUUUAAAUGACAAGUGGGCAGUUAUACCCCUUUUGCAGUAAAUGCAUAAUUUCACUUGACUUGUCUUGCAUGUGGGGAACUUGUCAGUGGAGUUGUUCAGUGGCAACAUGAGUUUCACUGAGCUAUCACUUGUUUGCAGGAUUUGUUUUGGAUAAAGAAGACCGAAGCAUCACCAGAUCUGAUUUAUACUUCAAGGACCUAUUUCGUCGGUGUGGAUUGCACCUGUAUAAAAUAAAGGUUAUGGCGGUAAAGGGGUCAACUUGACGUAGUUACGCAACUUGGACUUACACCAUAAAAUUCAACCAAAUUCCAACAAAGAUUAGUUGCCAACCCAUCUAGUUGUGUCUGUUACACAUAACCUUUGACUUGCAACAUAACAAUCCCAAGAUGACACAUCUAAAACUGAUAAGUUUAUAUAGAUCAUGCACUAAUAGCCUCAUAUGUUGCCAUUGUCUUAACAACUAAGUCUCUAAGCAAACAUUCAAAAAUUUAGAUCUUGAAACGUUAAAUUACAAGGUCUAGCUAAAAAUCCAAUGAUAGGUGCGGGCUUUAGACGAUGAGAGAGGGCUUCUCCUAUUGUGAAGCCCUCGUUCCAUUGACUUUCAGAUGUGCCCCAAGAACAUAACUUCAGUGAGAGGCGGUGAGUGAUCUAUAUUGUUUGAUAAGUUUUAGAUAUCAUAUCAUCUUUUGUAUCCUUUUAUUCUUAUUUGAUGUUGCUGAGUUGAAUCGAUAAGGGUGUGAUUUCUAGUUGCAUGUUCGAAGUUCCCAUUAGAAAUGGGGGCAGGUUUGGUUUGCAAUCCCCCCACUUCAGUUUAGGGUUUUCAACUAUCAUAAUGUAUCCUUCCUUUUGUUAUUGAUUUGUUUAUUGUUUUGAAAACAGGACCAGAAAGGACUCCCUGAGGAAUUGUUUGCUGUAAAGACGUAUGCUUUAACAACUGAAGGGCCAAAGAAGGUUCUUAAGACAAGAUCCAAGGCGCAAGCCAACAGACCUGGCAUCAUCAAAUGAUUUGUUGCCUCUAACUUCUUGCAUUGUUGUAGGAGCACUCAAACUUUCUGGUGCUUCCUAUGUAAUUUAUUAGUGUAUUACCUCAAAUUGUUUACUUUAUAAGCUCUCUGUGGACAAAUUUUGUCCUUUUUCGUUUGAAGCUGUAUAUAUAUCUCUGAUAUACCUUUGAGUUGAAUUUAUAAACAUAUAUACUUAAUUUUUUAAUUAUUGCUUUCAUAUUUUAAUUUUAUCUUAAAUUUUUAUUUUUUUUACUUUUCAAACAAAAAUAAAGAGUAAAUUUUAGUAUUCCUUUUUACCAAUUCUGUAAUCCUUAGCCUAAUAAUAUUUUACACGUAUAUUUUUGUUCCUAUUCGCAAGACCGGCCCUCUCUCAUAUUUUUGUGUUAUGUUCCAAACGGUGCCGUUUGGCACCUUGUUCCUUACAACCCUAACUAUAAAUUCAUUCUUUUCUCUCUUACUUCGCUUCAUUUUUCCCCUUCUCUCUGAACCGUCGGUGGCUCCCUCUCACAUCUCUCUAAACCAUCAGUUCAUUUCCUCCUCUCUUUCUCUUUCGGCUGGAUGUAAUGAGAAUCUCCCAACCCCAGAAAAAGGAAAUCAACUUUCUCUCCCUCACACUGCCAGAACCUUCCUUUCACCCUCACAAAUCAUUCCCCAACCGAACCCAUUUCCCAGAUCUCUUUCUUUGUAAGCAUUGGAUUUUUGUUUUGGUGCUUUUUUGCCUUUUGGUUGUGGUAUCCGGUUGCUAGAUUAAAAAGUUAGAAAUUUUUUUGCUCUCUUCUGGAGAUUUUUGUUGAAAAAGCCCCUCCUUUUGUGAAGAUUUCUCUUUUUAUAUAUAGAGGCCGAAAAUUCUCUCCUUAGUAUUCGGUCGGCCAUUGAUUCUCUCCUUAUCAGGGUUAUCCUAAUUUUCAUUGAAUAAAAAUGAAAAGGAAAGAUAGACUUCUAAGAUAAUAAAAACAAAAAUAAAAUAAUAAUAAAAGUGCAUAAAAAAAUAGUAUCUACAACUUGAGGGAAUCUAUGUUUAGUUCUCAUAUGUAGGUUUAAAUUUUUUUUUCUUUGUUUGAGAUGGAUAUCAAACCCUUUCUUCAUGAACACCACUUGCUCUAUGAUGACUAUGAUGGAUCAGAGGCACUUUGUAAUAUAUGCAAUCAGAAAAUUCGUGGUAUGGCUUAUUGUUGUGAAAGAUGCAAAUUCUCAUUGCAUGAUUCUUGUGCUCAUCAACAGCUACCUCCUCAGAUAAGCGAUCCUUGCCAUCUCCAACACAACCUUACUCUCGAAAGGUCAAAUUACAUAGAUUACAUAUGUGCUAAAUGUUUCAAUCUUUCUCGAGGCCAUAGAUAUCAUUGCAAAGAGUGUGAUUUUAGCCUUGGGUAUCAAUGUGCUUUUUCAACUAAUGAUGAGAAAAAUAAACUCAAUGAUGAGACAUCUAAAAAAAUUGGUGAUUUUAUCGUCUUUAAUUAUAGGAGAGUGAGAAAGUAUGAGUAUAUAUGUAGUUGGUGUGAGAACCAUUUGUCCGGAAUGUCUUAUGCUUGUCUUGGCAGUGGUGCUUAUUUCUGGUUCCAUGAUUCCUGCCUAAUCAACAUGCCUAGCAUAAUCUUCAAACACCCAUUUCAUCCAUCACACCCUCUUUCAUUAUGCAACAGUCACUUUGAUUAUCGGUUGUGCAAUGCUUGCAACUUACCAGUAUGGGAGUUUAUAAAAGCCUAUCGUUGUAGAAAAUGUGAAUUCUACCUUCAUGUUCAUUGUGCUAAACUACGACCCAGUCUUAAGGUUGAGUUACAUGAGCAUGAUCUUACUUUUUUUCGAAUAAAAGUUAAUAUCGCUUCCCACCGAUGCAGGAUAUGCGGUUUUGAUUUUGAUGCUUCAGGGGAUGAAAGUGCUUUUUAUCGUUGUGUCCAUUGUAAUUUCAAUUACCAUUUCGAAUGUCUUACAAUACCACAUUCUACUUCACACAAGUAUCAUAGGCAUGAUCUCAUGCUUAUGGAUUCAUUUAUAGAAGAUGUUUCUGAAGAAUAUAAUUGUGAUAUAUGUGAAGAAGAAAGAAAACCCAAACAUAGUGUUUUUUGUUGCAAGAAAUGCAAAUUUGUUGCUCACAUCGAAUGUGCACUCAAUAAGGUAAGGGGACAUUUACUCUCUCUCUCUAGAGAAAUUUAAUAAAUAUUUUUUUAUUAGAUAAACUAUUAAUUAUUUGAUCAUAGGUCACAUGUAAUGUGCCCCUUAGAAAAAUUUUGAUGCUAAUGUUUUCACUUCCUCAGGUUGUAGAUACGAAACUUGAUCAAAGUUUGACCUUUAGUUUGUUGGAUAACAAAGCUUCAACAUCGAAGGUAAUGGAAUUGGGUCUUCUAUAUUGAUAUUAUUGUGAUGUUUUCACUUGCCAAUAAUGUUUUUUUUUUUAAGUUUACAUCACUUGAGGUCUUCUAUGAUUCUUUGGAUUUAUAUAUUAUAAAGAUUUUGUAGUAAUAAACACUAUUUAUGUUUUUGAAUAAAAUUCAAUAAAAAAAAUAAAAAAUGUAAAUAAUAUAGGUAAGAAACCUCUACUUAUAUAACAGUAUUCAAAAUUAAUUUGGAGAUGGCUUUAGUAAAAAUAUUGAAUGCUGAAUAAAAUAAAAACACAUACUAGCAUCAUGUUAAUUUCUGAAUAUAUAUAUUUGAUUAUUUAAUUAUUGCUUCCAUAGUUUAGUUUUAUCUUAAAUUUUCAUUUCAUUUACUUUUUAAACACAAUUAACAAGUAAAUUUUACUAUUAAUUUUGACCUAUUUGUAAUUUUUUGGUUUUCAUUCACCAUUUUGAAUUUGUUUCAAAACCAUCUGUAUAUUAACAUGUCAAUAAAAUAUAAAUGAAAUUUGUCACGUAAAUUCCACAUAUUAUGUGAAUUAUGUGAAUGUAGUCACAUGGACAUAACUGUAGUGCUUAGAUGGCAAAUCCGUUUCAUAUUUAAUAGUGUAUUGAUGGAUAGAUGAAUUUAAAAUAAAUUUAAAAAAACGUAGAUGGAAAAAAUCGAGUUUGUUUAGUCAUAAAUGAAAAUAAAAUAUUAUGACAAUGCUACAAACUAAGAAUGCACUUUACUUAAAAAAUGGAUGAAGAUUAAUAACUUUCUUCACUCAACCUGGUUGUGCAGGUGCAAAUUGAACAUUUUGAUCAUCAACAUCCCUUAAGCUAUAAUGAGACAAUUGAACAGAAUGAAAGUCUUCUUUGCAAUGCUUGCCGUCAAGAAAUUUUUUAUCAACACUAUGCUUGUGAAGAUUGUAAAUACUACUUACAUGAAACGUGCACUACAUUGCCGUAUGAAGUGUCACACCCUCUUCAUUGCCAGCAUCUUCUCAAGCUCUUCACGGAUAUAGUUGAAUUUACAUGUCAUGGAUGUAGGGAACAUUCUGGUGGGUUUGCUUACAUGUGCCUUCCUUGUGAUUUCCAACUUGAUGUGAAAUGUGCUACUACUCCAAUCCCACCUCAAAAUGAGAGGCAAAAGCUGAAAGAGAUGGAGAAAGUUUCCAAGUUGUGCCCUUUCAAUCAAAAUCAUAAGCUAGACUUCUUCAACCGUAGACUCAAUUUCAAAGAUUUGGCUUUGGAAUGCGAUGCUUGCAAGCUACCAAUCUUGGGUCCAGGUUAUACUUGUCGUGAUUGUUUCAAUAUCAAAAUUCAUGAAUCUUGUCUUGCACUUAUGCGGGAGAUGCAACACACAUUUCAUCUGUUACACCCGCUUCAUCCACAAAUCGGCGAUUGGGAAAAUUGUUCUGCUUGUAGAUUUAAAAUCAUUGAGAGUAUUGGUUAUAGUUGUCGGCAGUGUGAUUUCCACCUUCAUCUUCAUUGUGCUAAUUCCUUGAAGCUAGCUUUAAAAAUUAAGUCUCACAUGCAUAAUCUUUAUUAUUUUGGACCAGAUUAUGAGAAAUCUUACCAAUUAUGUAACAAAUGCAAAAGUUACAUUGGUAAGGAACCUUUCUAUUAUUGCGUGGAGUGCAAUAUGAAUUUGCACUUAAAAUGUGUUCCCAUACCAUGUUCAAUUAAAUCCAAAUGUCACAUGCAUUGGUUGACUCUUAAAAAUCAUUUUGUGGAAGAUGAUUCUGGAGAAUACUAUUGUGACAUUUGCGAAGAAGAAAGAAAUUCAAAAAAUCAUUGCUAUUAUUGUGAAGAGUGUGCUGGACAAUUUGUUGCUCACAUCGAGUGUGUGUUUCUUAAAGUAAGUUUAUCACUAUCUUUUUUUCUGUAGAUUUUUUUUAUGCCACAUUAUUGAUUUUUUAAAGGAAAAUAAGAAUCUAAAUUGCACAUCACAUGAUCAUAUCCAUCACCUCUUUGAUUUAUUAGACUUUAUUAAUGGUUAAAGUAUCUCAUAGGUCCAUAUACCAUAGAAUUUUUGUUAAUUUAAGUCUUUUACCUAAACUGGUUAAUUGAGUCUCUAUAUUUUGAGAUUUUAUAUAAUUGAGUCAUUUUGCUUAACUGCAUCUAAAUUAACCAUUAGUGGUGUUGGAGUGGCACGAACAUGUUAGAUAAAAAAAAAACAAAUUGGCCACGUGGCAUUUUUUUCUUUUUUCUUUAUUCUUCUCUCAUGUGGCAUUAGUGGUGUUGGAGUGGCAUUUCGAUUAUCCUAGAUCUAAAAUCAUAAACUUGUAAAAAAGAAACUUGUUUCUUUUCACUGCUGUGUCCUUGACUUGAUGUUAAUUGUCAAUGGUUGUGUUUUUCAUGUUGUAGGAUUUUGAAUUUACAAAUGGAAAUUUUCAUGAAAUUUCCAACUUGAAAGAUGUUGAUUCACCUAUUGAGAGUUCCUUUAUGGAUAAGUUGCUUUCCCAACCCCAUGCUGAAGUUUACUUGAACCAAAACAGAAUGGUAGUUAAGUUCUAUAUAAGUUCAUUUUAAAGAUUUCAUCUUUUAUGCGAAUAUGAAUUUUAUUUUAUGAAUAGUUGAAUGGAAGAAAAGUUUCACGAUUUUGUGGAUGCUAUUGUUGUUGCAGAAGUAUUGGGUGGACAAGAAGUUAAACAAAUACUGCUUCAUGUUGUUUGCAAGAAACCUUACAAUCACUUGGUCAGAAGACCACCGUUACUGGCAUUGGUCAUACCAAAGAGAAACAAACAGGUUAGCGUUGAUUUAUUAUCCAUUCAGAAUCCUUACUUCAUAGUUCUAGCUCGAGAGCUUUCCUUAUCCAUAAACUUUUGAUUUUACAGUGAUGUGUUGAUUAAUGUUGUCGAACUUCUAGAUGUGUGUUGGCUAGAAAUGCAUGUGAAAUUCAAUGUAAAAAAGCUCUCACCAAAAACAUUGUAUGGACUUGUGUUCGUGCUUAUGUUGACAAAAGAAGCAUAUGGAUGGGAACAUCUAGUGAACUUCGGAUUCACUCUUCCAAAUGGGUACAAAGUUGAACACAAGGAAUCUUUGAAGUCCAAGCCGAGAGGAGAAUGGAUAGAAAUCAUUGUUGGAGAAUUUACAACUUCAUCUGAAAUUGUCGGAGAAUUAGAUAUUUACUGUCACGAAUAUGAUGUAUUAUUUUGGAAGAGAGGACUUAUUGUUAAAGGAGUUGCUAUUCUACCAAAGAAUUAAGUAAUAAAUUAGUAUUUUUUCACAAUAAAUCUAAAAGUAUCAUAGCUAUUUUAUUUGUUCAUAAUCCUACAGAUUCCAAAAUGACAUGAACUUGAAAGGAACAAACUCAUCCAAUUAUCACCUCAACAACUAAUUUUCUAGUCCUCAUUAUACUAUGUAAGUUCCAUGCUAAAUGCAAUGAACAAGCCCAUUGAUUUUUUUGAUAUGUUUUAUUAGAUUUUUAGACCACCAGUGACUAGUGGCUGGCUAUCAAAAUCUGAGUUUGGGGAUCAGAAUCUGCGAUAGAAGGAUUGGAUAGAGAGCGAGAGAAAGAAGGAAAGAAGGAAAAAUGAAAAAAGAAAAAAUAAAUGUCCUUUAAAUAGAAGGCUUAAAAUGACUAGUUUUGGACAAAUGAGAAAAAAAAUAGAAAAGCCAUGUGAUUAAUUUCUUUUUUAGUCUAACACAUCAACGUUAGGAUUUUUUGGCAUGUUAACGCAACAUUAGCACCAAUAACGGCUAAUUUGAGUGGAGUUAGAUAAAAAGACUUAAUGGUACAAAAUUUGAGUGUACAGAGACUAAAUUAACCAAUUUUGAAUAGAUUGACUAAAUUGACGAAAAAAAUCUUUAAUAUAGGGAUUUAUGAGGUACUUUGACAAAAAAUCUUUAAUAUAGGGAUCUAUGAGGUACUUUGACUAUUAAUAAAUUUCAAUCAACCAAAGAGAUGAUGGAUAUGAUCAUGUAAUGUGUAUGUGUAAUUUAAAUUCUUAUUUUUCCUUUUAAAAAAUUCAAUAAUGUGGUAUAAAAGAAUUCUACAAUGAGAAAAAAUAAUUGUUAGCGUCUCAGCAUUUUCUGAAACCUUUUCAGCACUUCGAAGCCUUGUCCAUUAAUUAAUCAACUUGUUUCAGGCAUGUUCUCAUAGUAACACAAGUCUUUACGUUGUGUAGACCUUUUAUUUCUUUUUGACCUCUUGCAAUCUUGAGCAAGGCUGGUUGUGUAUAUAGUGGAGCAUAGUUGUUUAUCCCCACAUAGUUGUGUAUAUAGGGAGAUGUAUGUCUAAGCUAUAGGGAUGGUUUUUGUUCACUUGCUUUUUCGUAUAUUGAUUUUGCUUAAGGUAUAAAGGUAUAGAAUUUUUAAAAAAAGAUACAAAAUUACAGUAUUAGCAUCUUGAUAGCCAUAUUUGGAAUAAAAAAGUAGCAAUUAAAAGAAGCAUUUUAUCUUUAAUGAUGAGUAAGCUUUCUUUGGCCUUUUUCUUUUUUAUAUUCUUUCAAUAAUUUCCUUCUUUAAAUAGAGAAAAAAAAAACAAUGUUGACAAGGCAUGAAGCACAUGCCAUUUUCUUGUUUUUGGUAAAAGGGCUUGAGGGAAUCUUUAUUUAGGUUUUGUAUUUAAACAGCCUCUCUCAUCAAAAGGCUAGUAGUUGAUCAUCUCUCUCUCUUCAUCUACCUAAAUUUCAUUUUUUUUGUUUGUUUGAGAAAACAAGGUAGAGACUGUUCUGCUAUUAGGAUAUUCUAUACUUGUUUUGGACAGAAAUUUAGUACCUCUUCUAAUCUUCAACUGAAAUACCCCAUACUUUGAUAUGAUGAUCAAUAAAGUUGGCCGGAUGUCAAAAUCAGUCAUGAAGAAGGAUCAUAUGGUUGAUCCAAGUAGGGGAAACGAUGUCAAGCCUAACUCUAUAAAAUACUUGUCAUGACAUACAUGUGGUGGAUAGCAUGGUUGCAUAUUAGGAGAGUCCCAAAAAAUCGAUAAAAGUCGAUAUUGUACCUAUAGGCACAACAAAGUUGAUUUAAGCCUCGAACUAGAUCAAAUAGAGAAUUUAAGAUGAAAUUAAGAAUAUUAAAGUUCCAGAAUGGUUUAAUAUGGUGAUUUGGAGUUCGAAUGUCAAUUUGGAGUCAAACCGAAAUUUUCACUAUCUAGGGGCAAAAUGGUCAUUUGCCACCUGGGGACAAAAUGAGAAUUUUUAGAAAAGAUUUUUUGGCCCCAUAUGACUUAUUGAAGUAUGAUUUGAGGUUAAGAAGUGAAAAAAAUUUAUUCUUGGUAUUUUUUGGAGCAUAGGGGUAAAAUGGUAAUUUUACCACCCUAAGGGCAAAAUAGUAAUUUUCCACUACCAGGACAUUUGUCCAGCACAUGGUCUUCCCUUAUCCUCAUUUUGACCAGUGACUAAUCAUGUGGUGGAGAUAAAAAGGUUUAAAAUUUUUAAAGUUUUAAAAAUGGACCAAUGGAAACAUGCCACGUGUCAAGCAAGAAUACUUUAUUAUUUUUCUUAAAAAUCAGCCCAUAUUUAUCCCAUUUUCUCUUCAUGUGGCCGGCCACAGUAAGAACAAGAGAGGAAAGGAAAAAAAACACAAAACCUAGGUGGAAAAAUUGAAGAAAAAGUGUGGGAUUUCAAAGGAUCAAGCAAUAAAAGGUAAAAUUUCUUGAUUUUGACUUGUGAUCUACCUUUCCCAUGCAUUUCUCCUUAUUUUUCAUGGUUAAAUUUCAUGUUUUCAUGGUGAAUUUAUGGCUGCCCAAAUGGGUACGGAGAGAGAAUGAAGUUAGAUUGAUUUGAUUUUAAGUUAUGUUAGUGUUUUUAGUUAGUUUAGCAUAUUUAGAAACAAAACAACAAGAAAAGAAUUCAUUUUCCCCCAUCACCAUCAUUGGCUGAAUUUUUUAGGGAGGAUAUUGUGGCUGAAAUUGAUGAUAUUUGGGUGAUAUUUGAUGUUUGGUGAGGCUAUAAAUUAAAUGAGAAAUUUUGGUAUGAAAAUCUGAAUUUUUACCUAAUGUAUAGACAUGUGUGAUUAUUGAUCCGGGACUGAUAAAUUGAAUCUCAUUCACAGUCACUGAGGUAAUUUAGGUAUAAUUGGAGCGUAGAAAGUGAGAAGAAUUGAUUUGGAGUUAAAUUGGAGAUUUUAGCCGAUUAGGUCGAGUAUAGUGUGACUUAGGUCGAAUAUCACAUUUAAGUGAUUAAUCAGACAUUUUGCAUCCCAUCUCAUGCGUUCAUUUAGAUUAGAGAGCCUAAAAUAGUUUAUGAUAAAUUGACACAAUUUAUUGAAAUUCAUGCCACGUAUGAUGUAUAGGUGGUGAGCCCUCUAACAAGGGUAAAGAAAUAGUGCCCGAAGACCGAGAAUAGGAAUAUAUCGAACUCCUAGUAUUGUGAGUAACCUUAUCAUCAUUUUUAUUAUCUAAAGUAUGUUUUUAAUCGGUUUUGGUGAAAUUUUAUGAAAAUGAGUUUAAAUGGUAAAUCUUGAGUUUUACAAACAAAAUGUGUCUACACAAAAAGAUUUUAUAAAUUGUUUUAAAAUUGAAUGAUGAUUUUGAAAAAAAGAGUAAUUGGAGGCCACUUGUUAUGAAUUAAAUUUAUGAUUUAAAUCUAAUGGCUUAUGACAGUAUUUGCAUGAAUGAUUGAAUUGGUAUUUGUGUUGAAAUAUAUGAAAUGUGUUUUUAACCUUGAAAGGCUGUGAAUUAUAAUAAUUGCCAUGUCAUGCUAGAAUAAAUUUUAUUGAUUUGUGGAUUAUAUAUUAAUUAAUCACUGCAGUAGGGGGUCUUUGUGGAUCAGCCUUUUAGAAAGACACGGUAAAUCCCAUUAUAUUCUUACUUCGAACGGAGAGGCGCGUAGGGUAUCUCCUGGGGUAAAGCUUAGAGUUCACUUCAAGCCGAACCACCACUUGAAGGGGAACUCAGCCAACGCCAAGGAACGGCUGUGUUUUUUCAAACUAAAAAUAUGUUUUACGUGUAUAUGAAAUUUUUAACAGCCUUGGCGGCUCGAGUGUACGCCUCUGAUCAAGGUGUUAUCGAGUAUAUUUGAUGGCAUGAGCCAAGUGCUUAUGAAAGUCAUAAGCCCUAAUGAGAAAUUAAAUAAAAUACAACCGUUUGCAUGGAUUUGGAUGAAUUUUCAAAUUGCGAAAUACUUAAAAUGAUGGGAUAUUUUAAUUGUCUCUUUUUACUCGAUUUUAGCUGAUUUAAAUGAUGUUUGUUUACUCACUAGGAAUGUAUAAUCUCACCACCCUCAUUUCCACUCAUUUCCACCCAUUUCAGGCUCAGAGUAGGCUGUAGAUAGUUGAUUCCAUUGAGGGCUUCUAUUGGAUUAGCGUCCUCCACACAGUAGGUUCACAGUUUCUUUAAUUCUAGUUAUUAUGGGCUCACUUAAUAUUGUAAAUUUAAUAGUUUAUUGUGCUACAAUAUGAUGAAUUUAUUUUAUUUUUACGUUACAAAAAGUAUUUACGCAUAACUCCAAAAUUUCUGUUUAUAAGAAAAUAAAAUAUUUUAUUGAAUAUUUUGUUUUAUCUUCUUAUUAUAUUCAAAUAAUUAUAAUUUCAUUUUAAAUAAAGGUUUUAGAUGCCUAAACUUAUUUUUAAUUGUGAAUUAUGUGAUUGGUACUUGUUUACUACAUUUUUAACUAGUUUUGAAAUUUUCAGUGGAAAAAUGAACAAAAUGCCCCUAUGAGACAAAAAUUUUUAUUUUAUCAGUUUUAAGUUGCAAAAUAACUCAAAAUCCUUUAGAGCAUAAAAUUUGGCAACGGUUACUCACCGGGGGAAAUGAGAAACUGAUAUUAAGCAUUGCGGGGUUUCGGUUGGCAUUCUGGGAGAUGAGUACCCAUCGGGGCAUCGCGGCGGUUGUCACAGGCUCAAGGGUAGUUCCGGGUCGUGACAUCAACCAUCUUGGUGCUGCAAAAAGGGGGUUGUAGCUAGAAAUUAACAGCAAAAAAGAUGCAAACAAGGCUGUUGAUGUGAAUGAUAUAGCUUGGUUUGGGUUAUACAAGGCACAACAAUCUUUUGAAUGUCAAAUACACUUUCCUAUAUUUAAGCUUAUUCUUCAUAAUGUGUAGGACUGCAGGGCAUUUUAUUCAAUUAUAUUUUGGUUAGAUUGUAGGGAAAAGAAAGCUAGAGAAAAAGACAACAGAGAGAAACAUUUUUUGACAAUGAUUCAAAAUUUAAUUUCAUUAAUAAGUUAAAGAAUUAUAGCAAAUUGUCAAAAAGGUCAAAAAAAAAUUUUUCUGCUUCUUUUAAUCUCUCUUGGCUAGAAGAAAUGUGCAUUCUUGAACUAGUGAUUUGCAAAUAAGUGGCUGCUUUUCUUGUAUACUUUUGAGUUGAAUGACCAUGUACUUAUCCAUUUUGUAUAUUUCAACAAAUUUAUGUUAAUAUUCAAGUUUCUAAUAUUUGAAUGAGUUUAUAUUUGAUGCAUUAACUAUGUAUAUAAGAUACACUGUCAGUGUAUCAAAUAUGAAUCCUAUUUAAAUAGAUUAAGAGUACAUAGUUAAAAAUUGCAGAGGGCUUAAUUUGAGAUAGUAGUUUUUUGUAUGAAAGAAGAAAAAGAAGAUUUUGCUGCUUUUUUUUAUUUGUUUUUGUUAAUUUUAUUGUGUCAGCUUGAUUUUAUGUCAAUAGCCUUAUCAAUUCAUCUUGGUUAGUAAUCAACUGCUUUAAUAACGAUGCUUCCCAACAAAAAGUUUAAAAGGGAAAAUAGGAGAUUCCAAACUUAAAACCUUGAUGUCCUUGAUGCUUUUCUUAUUUCUCUGUCUUUUUCUAUUUAUUGUUUUAGUUACAAAAUUGUAGAAGUAGCAUCUUGAUUGCCACAUUUUUAAUUAAAGAAGUACCAAUUUAAGAAAUAUUUUAUCUUUAAUGAUAAGUGAGUUUUCUUUGACCCUUUUCUUUUUCUUGAAAGAUUGAGAAUAGUCUUCCAUGAAAAAAGAGUAUAUCUUAAUUAAAUUAUUGAAGUCAAGAAACUAAGAUUAGCUUCCAUAUUUUCACAAUUAUUUCCUUAUUUUAAAAAAGUAAAAAAUAAUGUUAUUUUUUAUCACUCACUUGAUUAAUUAAUAUGAAAUUGUCGUUGUAUUAGUAAAAUGAAUUUAACAUUAAUUAAUCACAAUAUACGCAUGAUGUGUUUUCAUCGUGCAAGUAAUUGUUGUAUAACUAAAGCAAAAGGAAAGUAAUUGCUAUAUAACAUUAGUUUACUUAGAGGGCAAUAUUUAAUUAAAAAAAAAUAAUUCCAAACUUAAAACCUUUAUCCUCUUAAAAACCAAUGAAUAGAGUAAAGUUAAUUCUCCGUAAAGUGAUUUGAUUUCAAAAUGCCAAAGGCCCUUGAUGCAUUUCUUUUUUUUCUUUAAACAAAACACUCCCCUUGCUAAAACUAAAGUGAGAAUCAAUUAAGUAUGGUACAAUUUAUAGAUACAUUUAUGUCACUAGAAAUACUUUGUUUCAGAGUUAAUUUUUUUAGAAAUAAUAAAGAUGAAUUAUAUAUUAAAAAAGAGAAGGACAAGAGUAUCUCUUUACAACUUGACAAAAAGGACCCGCGGCUACAUCAAAAAACAACCAAUGGGGCUUGAAAACUUGGGUAGAUUAGUACUUACCAUAAGUCCAGCCAGAGGCGGAGGGAAGGGGGGCUAAGAAGGCCCCGCCCCCAAAAUUUCAAAAAUUUAUAUUUUUUUGUUUUAUUUUAAAAAUUGAUAAUUUUAUCUUUAUUUUUUAAAAAUUUUAUAAUUUUAUCCUUUCAAAUAUUAAAAUUUUUAUUUUCUCAUUCUCAAAUUUAAAAUAUUGACUACGCUACUGAAUCCAGUCAAAUAGUAUUAAAAAGAAAACAUUACAAAAGAUAAAAAAACCCACCCUAUACAUAGUAAAAUGACCUGUACAUAAUCGUUUCCUAAAAGGAGGAUCUAAAACGGUGUUCAGCCAUUAUCCUACAGAAAAAGAGCAGGUAAAAAAAAAACAUCAAUGGUUCUCAUGAAGGUAGCAGUGAGCACUGUGAUGCACAGCAAAAGUAAAUAAAGUAAGGGGACAGAACACCUCACACUAGGUUAAUAUUUCUUUCCAGGGUUGGCAUGGAGUCAUUGAUCCAAAGCAAAUUUGUUGAUCUUGAGACACCUUCUUUGGCCAGCGUGUUAGCUUUUAUAUUAGCAGAUCGAGAACAUCUUCCAAUCUUGCCAAGUGUAUUAAAUGUUUGAAUUAUCAGAGUCCUCAUUCUUCAUGUCUUCCUUAAUAUCAAUCACUUUUACAUAGAAUUUAAUUUUAAUUUUACAUUUGGAUUGUUGUGCUAGGGUAUGGCCGUAAAGGGGUCAACUUGGAUUUACAGCAUAAAACUCAACUAAAUUCCAACAAAGAUUAGUUCCCAACCCAUACAGUAUAUUUGUAUAAGUUACUUGACUAAUUUACAUUGAAGAAGUAAAUUUGCAUAUCAACCACAUCAUAAGCUAAUCAAUCACUGGAAAUAUGAAAUUACCACUAGUGCUUGCUAAAUUUUAUAAACAAAUCAUCUUAAUAAGCAAUAACUAUAUGUGCGAGGGCUAAUUGUUUGAGUUAACAUUCCAUGAAAUUUACCCCAAAAUUUAUGUUAAUAUUCUAGCUUGUGAUUAAGUCAAAUAUUCAAGUUUCCAACAUUUGAAUAGAUUAGGAGUACUUCAUAAAUGAAGGGGUUUAAUUUGAGGUAAUAGCUUCAAGUAUGGAAGAAGAAAAACAAGAUUAUGGUGCUUAUUUUUUUAUCUUUUUUUUUUAUUUUCUUGUCUUGUGUUGAUUUUAUGUCAACACUCUUAUUCGCUAUUUGGUAAUUUUGGACGUGUGUAUUUCUGCAGUAAUGUUUAUGAAAUGGUAUGGAUAGCAUUGAUAGCUGUGGAUCACGAGACAUAUAUACACUUUAGAUAACUAUUUAUUUGAGACGUGCUGAGAGGUGAUUUAAUUAUUUCUGUUAGCUGAGUUGUUUUUUCGGAGGUUCAGCCGACUUCUUAAAGAGUCCAACUGGAGCUAUUUAUCCCCAAAAUGGAGCUUAAUUUGGGCAUGUGGCAUGUGACAUGCGACAUUGCCACAUCUUCUCAAGAAAAGGGCACAGGCAAAACCAGAGGAAAUGCGAUAAGUAAAGGCCAAAUAAAUAAAAAGGCUAAUCAUAAUUUAACCAAAAAAAAAAAGAGAAACAGAAAGAAAGAUGGUGCACAUCUUGUCAUCAUCCAUCGAUUAGACAUCCCAUCCCUCACCAACCCAACGUCCUUGGACAACUUCUUCCACAUAUGUUGUCCAAUAAAAAUCUCUCAAGUGUCUCGCAUUGCUUGAAAUGAAAAAAAAGACUGCCACGUGCUACCUUCUUGGCAAUUGCUACCAGCGUUCUCCUCCUUCCGCUUGGUGUCGCCUGUACAGCCACAACCACCACCACCACCACCAUUUGCAAUUCUCCUGAUUCAGAAUUCUUAUCACAUUACUACUGUUGGAAAAGUGUUUGACAAGCAACCUUCAGCUGGUAAGUUAGCUUCACUUUCACCUUUAUUAUGAAAAAUUUUAUACGCAUCGCUUUUGGAUUACAAAGCAUCCUGGUCAAAUUGUUUCCGUAGUGAGGUAGAAGUUGUCAUUCAAGAAAAAUUACGAGGACGACUUAUAAAGCAUUUUAAUUCUCAUGGUUUUUGUUUUUUAAAAGAAUAAUUUUGGGUUCAACUGUAAGAAAUUAUCUUCCACUUGUUCAUUCUUAAAAAACAGGGUCGGAAGAGAAGCAGCUUCAACCUCUUCCACUUGUUCGGUCAAUCAAUAAUUAACUGCUGUUUUCGUUAAUCAAUUUACAUUUGAGUAACAACAAAAACAAUGGCAAAAGCACUUCUUUCCAUGAUCCUGGAGCAGUUGGGUGGUUCUUUCAUUCCUCAAGAGAUAAAGCACCAUAUCGGAUUGGCUGUAGGUCUUGAAGAAGAAAUCCAAAAACUCACCAGCCACUUUGAGGCCAUUCAAGCUGUGCUUGAAGAUGCGGAAAGAAAACAGGUGAAGUAGGCCAGUGUGAGACAUUGGUUAUCUAAGCUCAAAAAUGUUUCCUAUGAUGUGGAGGAUGUGUUGGAUGAGUGGAACACUGCAAAACUCAAAUCAAAACUUGAGAAAGAAGAGAGAGCAACUGAACAUGCUUCUUUGCCAAGGAAGGUAUGCUACUCUUUCUCCUUCUCUUCCUCUAAAAUCAUACUACAGCACAACAUCGCUCAGAAAAUCAAAGAAUUGAAUGGACAAUUAGACUUUAUUUCUGCUGAGAAAGAUAGGUACAAAUUCGAACUAUGGAGGGGAAUUCAUGAAGAAUCUGAACUACAAAUAACUACCUCUUUCAUAGAUGUUACUGAUGUAUAUGGCAGAGACCAAGAUAAGAAUGCUGUAUUAAACAUGUUGUUGGAAGAGAAUAGUGAAAAAGAUUCCACUCUCCAAAUCAUCACUAUAGUAGGGAUGGGAGGAGUAGGGAAAACUACUCUUGCUCGACUAGCCUACAAUGACAAUAUUGUGGAUACUCAUUUCGAGAAAAAAAUUUGGGUGUGUGUCUCAGAUCCUUUUGAUGGCAUCAAGAUUGCCAAAGCGAUUCUUGAAUCUCUUGGAGAUGCUGUGCCAAACUUUGUUGAAUUACAAACUCUACUACAACGUAUUAGGAAGUCAGUUGUAGGAAAAAGAUUUCUUCUUGUUUUAGAUGAUGUGUGGAAUGAAGAUGACUGGAAGUGGAAACCCUUCAAAGAUUCUCUCAGUUGUGGUUCUUUGGGAAGCAAAAUCUUAAUGACCACGCGUAAGGAGAAUGUUGCGGUUGCAAUGGGUUGCACUACUUUGUUCCCACUAGGGAAGUUGGCCAAAGAAGAAUGUUGGCUGUUGUUUAGUCGGGUAGCCUUUUUUGGAAGGACUAGCAGGGAAUGCCAGAUGUUGGAAGAUUUUGGUAGGAAAAUAGCAGACAAAUGCCAAGGUUUGCCACUUGCUGUGAAGACUCUUGGGGGUCUCAUGCGCUCCAAAAGAACUAUAGAACAAUGGCAAAGUGUUUUGAAUAGCGAAAUAUGGGAGUUGAAGGAGGCUGAAAGAGGUAUUUUCCCUCCCUUAUUGUUGAGUUAUUAUGAUUUGUCCCCAGCUUUAAAACAAUGCUUCUCAUUUUGUGCCAUAUUUCCGAAAGACUGUGAUAGAGAAAGAUAGGCUGAUCAAACUAUGGAUGGCGCAAGGUUUCCUUAAGGAGAAGCAAAUCAAAGAUAUGGAAAUCCUUGGUCAAGAGUAUUUUGAAGACUUAGCAAUGUGCUCUUUUUUUCAAGACUUUGAAAGAGAUGGCGAUGGCAACAUAAAUAAAUGCAAAAUGCAUGAUUUAGUACAUGAUUUGGCCCAGUUUCUGACGAAGGGUGAGUGUUUCAUGGUAGAGGUCUAUGGUGUUGAACAGCCUCAGGUAGAUACUUACAGUGAAAAAGGUCGUCAUUUAAUGUUGGCGCUUGGAGAGAAGGUCAUAUUUCCUACCUACAUUUAUAAUGUUAAGAAAUUGCGUAGCCUCCUAGUUGAACCAAUCAAUUUUUAUGCUUCAAUAAUGAGCGAAUCCUUACCCAAGUUAUGUAAACAGUUGACUUGUCUGAGAACAUUGGACUUGAGUACCAAGUAUCAUACUAUCUUUGGUAGCACAAUUACAGAAAUUCCAAAAGAGAUAGCAAAAUUGAUUCAUUUGAGAUACCUUAACAUAAGUAACAAUGAUGAUUUAGAAGAAUUGCCAGAAGCAUUGUGUGAAUUGCUUAAUUUACAAACCUUAGACCUCAGUUUUUGCAAAAAGCUAAAGAGAUUGCCAAAUGGAAUUGGAAAACUAGUAAACUUGAGGCAUCUUAAGAAUUAUGGUACUUGGAGAGUAAGGUUCAUGCCAAAAGGAAUGGAGAAAUUAACGUCUCUUCGAACACUAAGGGAGUUUCCAUUGAGUGAAGGUGGUACUAGUUGUGAAACAUCUUCGAUUGGGGAACUGGGAAGCUUGACCCACCUUGGAGACUAUCUUGAGAUUAGAGGAUUGGGAAAUGUGAGAGAUGUGAAUAAGGCCAGGAAAGCAAAUCUUCGGAGCAAGGAAUGCCUCUUUAAUCUGUUACUCAAAUUUGAUAUGGAUGAGAACAAGUCAGGAGGGGGGUUGCCAAAUGGUGAUGCACUUGUUCUUGAAGCCUUACAGCCACCUCCUUACUUGGAAUGUUUAGAGAUACAUAACUACAGAGGCUCGAGCACAUUGCCAAAGUGGAUGUUGGCAUUGACCAACUUGAGGCAUCUUGCAGUCUGCUCGUGCAGAAACUGGGAGAGAUUGCCUCCCCUGGGGAAACUUCCAUCACUUGAAUCACUUUGGAUCUAUGACAUAAGGAGAGUAAAGAAAGUGGGAGUUGAAUUUUUAGGAAUAGAAAGAGAUGAGGGGCAAGGAUCUUCAUCCUCAACUGUUAUUCCCUUCCCGAAUCUGAAAAGACUUGAAAUUCAUGACAUGAAUGAGUUGGAAGAGUGGGAAUAUGGGGAGUUUCAUUUCCUUGGCAAGAGAAAAGAGCAAAUUAGUAUAAUGCCAUGUCUCAGUUUCUUAGUGAUUGAUAGAUGCCCGAGGUUAAAGGCACUACCACACCACCUUCAAAAUUCAAGCAUUGAGACAUUGGAGAUAAGAUGGUGUUCUAUUCUGGAAACAGGGUGCAUUAUCUCUCGCAUUCCUAACAUCCGAAUAAACUAUAUGGAGGUGAAAAGAGAUAAAGUUUGAACUCUUCUUGGGUCCAGAAGAUCACAAAUGCAAGCAGAAGCUCAUCAGGUUCUUUUCUUUUUAAAUCUAUUACUACCUUGCCAAUUUGGAAUACAUAAUCUACAUUUUUGUCUGAAUCAUUGCAUGCAUACAUGGUUUAUUGAUGCAAAAUUUAGCUGAAUAUCGAACUGGUUUGCAUAAUUAGCUGAUGCAAUGAGGUUAGAAAGCCCACUAAGGUGAAAAGUGGCCAAACUACCGUAUUGGUUGGCCUAACCAAGAAUAACUAGAACCUCUCCCUCUUUUGAAAAGAGUCUAGAAAGAAUAAGCACUGCUCAUUCAAGAAUAAUAUUCUUUUUUAAUGUUAAAAUUGAGAGAAAGCUCAUACAUUCAUUAAAGUUAAUAAAAUUGAAAUGUUUGCAUGUGCUUGGUAACACUUAAUUUCGAAAGUUUUUGUUGUAUAAUCUGCGGACAAACUAUAUAUGCUUAAUAUUGCAAUUUAUUUCCUAGGAAGUGUAUAAUAUUUGUGAGGUCUACAUUUUUAGAACCUAACAAAAUCCACGCUUUUAGGAGGAAGAAGCUGAACCAGCACUAGAUGCUCUAUCCAAGCUGAGAGAUAAAGGAAUCAAACAAUAGCAGCAGAGUGAUGAAGAAAAUCCAACCAUGAAGGAAUCGACAGAGGAGCAGCAGACUGAUAGAGAAAAUCUAGCCAUGGGGGAAUCAAUAGAGGAGCAGCAGACUGAUGAAGAAAAUCCAUCCAUGGAGGAACCAACAGAGAAGUAGUAGGGGGAAAAAAAUAUUAGUUUUGGCCUUGUCUAUCUUUUUUUUUUUUGAAUAAGUAAGGAUUUUCAUUGGCCUUGCCUAUCUAGUUGAAGCAGGAUUCUCCUUGUACUUGUUGUCUAGCAUAAGCUUUGACUAUCUUUGGGUUGUAUUUCAAUAUUAAUUGCAGGCUUGCUCACAGAAUUUUCAUCACGAGAACAUUUAUAUCAUCAACGUUUCUCAAGACAUUGAUUUAUGGAUCCUCUGCCUUUUCAUGGAGUGACUUUCCUCCCUUCCUCUUCUUUUCUUCCACAGUGCACUGCUUCUUCAUCGAGCAAUCCUUAAGGGAAAAAGGAUAGUGAUGAUAAGCCAUUGCGAUCAAAGACUGUCCCUCAACUCUAUUCAAGUUCAGGCGAUUACAGGUUGAAUUUAUAGGUGUAUGAACAACCCUUAUUCUAGUAGGAUUCGGACUGGUAUUAAUCCCUCUCUAGUAGUGAAAAACAAAUAACUAUCAGGUUAUCUUAAUAAAGACAUAAAUUAUCUAGUUAUCUUAAUAAAGACAAAUAAAAUAUUUGUAUGCAUAUGUCUACAAUUUAAAGUAUUCAAAGGGUAAACAUGAUACAUGGUCACUAAAUUCAAAGGAGGCACGAGUAAUGUUACUAGCUAAGAAAAGUAUUAUAAGGUUGAUUAAAUAAAUAUUGUAUCAUCUUACUCAAAAAUACAAUAACAUCUAAAUUCUUUUUUACUUAUAUUUUAAUACUUACUUCUUUGACCUGAAACAACAUUUUAAACAAACAGAAAAUGGAACACAUGGAAUCUUAAUUAAUUAACAUAGAGCAAAUGGAAAUUAAGAUCACCCCAGAGGAUUCUGCACUGGAUGUGAACUGAAGGGUAUCCUUAGGGUGUGAAGACCUUUCCUUGACACGUUCUUGCAAAAUUAACAAAUCAAUUAAAAGUAUAAAACCUGGUCCUAUCGAGCUUGGUAGUCCUUUUAUUCCAUUCGUACCAAAAUCUUCACCUCCCGCCCAUCCCAAGAGUGGUGGUUCCACUUAGCCAUCUAAAACUCAUUACUCAGUAACAUAUAUGAUUUGAAGAAUGUAGCAGUAUAAUCUGUAUCUGAUAUUUUAACCAGCUUGUUUUUUGUAUCCUGUCCAGACAAUAACUUCAAGUUGCUUAUGUAUGCAGCUUAAAUUGUAAUAUAUUUCUUAGUUAAUAGGAUUAUAUAUUAAGAACUUAAUGUUGUGGCUUAGUAUAUAUUAAUUUAUAAUAUACUUGAAAAGAAUUAAAGAAACCUCAAUUUCACAUAUCAUACUAGUUUGUCAACUCUAUGUAUUUAUAAUAAUCAUGCUUAUAAAAUUCAUAGAUAUAUUAGCGAAUAUAUUUUAAAUAUGCAUUUAAAAUUUGGUAGCACUUCACCACAAAUUUAUUAUACAUGUUAAUUAUAAUGUAUUUCUUAGUCAAUAGGAUUAUAUAUUAAGAAUUUAAUGUUGUGGUUUAGUAUAUAUUGUUGUUGAUACAGAGAAACUAAAGCUAUGCCAAGUGAUUGGAUUAUAGAAUGGCAAGCUUCUAAAUAUUUACACACACAAAAAUAUGAGAUUUUCAAAAUAAAUCAAAAAAAUUUUGCGAGGGAGUCGACAAAUGCAUUUGUCUCUCCAUGAACAAAUUUGACAUCACCAAUGAUACUAUUCUAGCAAUCAAUUUGGUCGGGAAUCCACCAUUUGUUUCAAGACUUUGAGUUAGCAUUUCAAAUUCAAGAUAGCGUCACCUUUGAAUCGAAAUCAAUAACAUGUUUUUUGGUACCAUCAAGGUUUUAUUACAUUUCAAACUCCAAAAUAAUUGGAUUGCUUGUUUGAUUGCAAGCAAUAAUGAAAAAUGACAUAGUCAUUUCCCUGACCAAAUAUAUCAUAAAUUCUUUUAACUUUCAAAAAAAAAAAAUUAUUCAGCUCUACUAGCACUACCUUUGAGACCAAUAGAGAUUAAACAUUAAAUCUUAAUCUUUGAAAUUUCUUAAUAUGUCUUGUUAAUAUGAAUCGGGUCUAAUUUGGAAAAAAUUUCUGUGUUUGAGAUUGAAAAAUUACUUUCACAUCACAUCAGACUAAGGCUGCUUUAUCUUGCUAAUAUUCUGCAACUUGUUAUCCUCAGAAAGGCAAAGGUUAGUUAUGUCUUCAAAAUGUUUAAUCGAAAGGAGAUUGAUUCUUCAUCAUGACUUCAAGGAUAUAUAAUUGCCUAUUUAAGAAGUGGGUUUAAAUACUUGUGAGUUGUUUUGACGAUACAAGGGCAGUUGACUGAAAUCUUGCAAAGGGGACUUUUUGGGGGAAAUUAUUUAGGAAACAGCUAAGCAGUUGGAGUUCAGCUUUAAUAUGAAGAUAUUAAGGUAACUAUGCAGUAGUCAUUUGGCUUUACUAUGGAGAUAAUUAAGUGAUUCCCACUAGUUUUAUUAUAAAUAAUAUGAUAAUAGAUGCACUUAAAUAUUUGAUUCAAUGAUAGGUGCAUGUAUCCCCCACUAAAUAUCCAAAUUGAACAACCUAAACACCUUUAAAUGACAAGUGGGCAGUUAUACCUCUUUUGCAGUAAUUGCAUAAAUUCACUUGAAUUGGCUUGCAUGUGGAGAACUAGUCAGUGGACUUGUUCAGCGAGUUUCACUGAGCUAUCAUUUGUUUGCAGGAUUUGUUGGGAUAAAGAAGACCGAAGCAUCACCAGAUCUAAUUUAUACUUCAAGGACCUAUUUCGUCGGUAUGGAUUGCACUUGUAUAAAAUAAAGGUACCUUCUAUUGCAUAUUGACCACCUAAUAAGUAGUUGAUAAUGCUUUUUUAAACUGAAUAAUCUGUUAGUUUUCUUGUAAAUGCUUUUGACAACUGUUGUUUCAUGAGCCAUAAUUCUAACUAUAUUUUGACACUGAAAGAAUAUACGAUACAAAAAGCUGCGCAGGUCUGCUGUGGUAUCUUAAAUGGUGCUCAAAGUUCUUAAUCAGCCUCAACUUCCAAUUUUUUUUUUUUAAUUCUGAAAAACAAAAACCCCUCACUGGCUAAAAUAAAGUGGGAAUCAAAUCAGUUUGGUACAAUUUGUAGAUAUGAUACAUUUAUGCCACCAAUGAUACUUUGCUACAGAGUUAUCUAUAUCAUAUAUUCUUUUUGUUUUUCUUAUUAUCAAUCAUUUUUACGGAGAAAUUAUGAUCUUGAAGUCAAAACUGGAUGUUGGAAUAAUUAAAGUAAUAAUCAACCUCAAAAUUGUGUGCUGGGUUAUGGCGGUAGAGGGGGUCAACUAGAUGUAAGUGACACCAUUUGGACUUAUACCAUAAAAUGAAACCAAAUUCCAACAAAGAUUAGCUGCCAAUCCAUACGGUUGUGUUUGUUAAACAUAACUUUUGACUUGCAACAUAACAAACCUACGAUGACACAUCUAAAACUGAUAAGUUUAUAUAGAUCAUGCACU